rnacentral:lncRNA from 1 species
AGCCUUUUAAUUAGAUCUAUAUAACUUUAUAUAUUUCGACUGAAUUAAAUACAUUUUAUAAGGUUAAACAAGCCAUAACCUAUCAGAAUUUUAAUCAAACCAACUAUAGGAACACAAAAGUAUUUCAUCGAGUAAAAAAGAGUAUUUUUUUGAAGUAUCACACUAAACGAAAUCUAUGUCUACUUUCAUUAUUGGAUUACUGAACUUCCAUGAAAUCAUCAUCUACUACAUUGAUGAAGAAAUUGAAAAACACACACUAAAGAAAAAGAGAAAGAAAAAAAGAAAGAAAGAAAGAUUCUUUCAUUAUUGGAUUAUCGAACGUAGACGAAGUCACCAUCAUCUACAUUGAUAUAGAAAGUGAAAAACACACACUGAACAAGAAAGAAAAUUAUAGAAAGAAAGCUGCUUAGUUUUUGAUAAUCCACUUAUUCAAAAGCCUUUUGAUAGUUCUUAAGAACAGCUUUUUCUUCCUCAGGUGUAAAAUCAUUCUCAAUGUUGAAGCGUUGGCGGAUCUGUUUUGGAGUUUCCUCUUUGAUCAUAUCCGCGACAGUUUGGCAUGUUAGGUCAGUAAGGCUUUUGAUGUUUAGGUGAUUCGCAGCCAUAAUGAGAUCAAAGAUCGUGGAUUGAUCGAUUUGCAUGAACUCCGCGUCCCACUUCUUGAGAUCCUCGUCGGUGGAAGGGUUAGCAUCACCGACGUGGUGCUUGUUUAAGUACUCGACCACCAUCGAAAGAAUCUUGCCUGUCACGUUUGGAACCGGGAUUUCUUUAUCGGUGCAAUCGUCGUCAAUCAGAUGAAAUAUGGUCUGGGAUUGGCGUGCAGCCUCUUCUUUGAUCUCAAACGAUUCACCAUCGGAGCUCUUCAACUUGAUUAUCUUCGCCGACAUUGUAUUUUUCCGUUGUGGGGGAGAUUAUUUUUUCUCUGGAAGAAAUUUUAAUGAAAGAUUGAAGAAUUUAGUAAUAAGGUAAUGAAGUUGUGAACCUAUGCGUCUGUCUAUUUAUAAGCCCUAACUUUCAUAGAUGCAUGUAUCGUGUCAAGUAAGUCACGAAAGCAUGAAGUUGUAUGUCUACUCACGUUGAUGUUGUUCUUCCACUAAAGUCUUUUUGUAUGUGUCUUUUUGAUUAAAACCACAACUUUUUCAUGUGUUUACUUGUAAGUUUGUAUGUAAUUCCUUUUUUAUCUAUUGAACUAACCACCGACUCAAAUUUUCAAAUAAACUUUUUCUUUAAAAAUGCACUAUGUUGUUUUAUUCACAUAACGCGUCUUCAAACUUUCUAUAAAUGCAUAUAUAUCACGUCUCACGCAAUUGAUCGUAGUAUUACACGGCAAUGUCUAGAUCACUUAGUUUUCUCUUAAUACCACAAAUGUUCCAAUUAGGAAACUUCAGCACACAGUUUUAUUUGAUCAUCCACUGUUUUUCUACAUAAAGAAGAUCAGGAUUUUUAUCAACUAUAUGAAGUUUUACUUUAUAAUAUAAAUAAAUAAAAUCAAAGAAAAAUAUAAGCAAGUACUUUCUUCAAGCAUUUCUAUAGAACUAUUCCACACUUUGUCGAUGAAUUAAUGACUAAAUAAAGGACAUUUGUUUAUUUCUUUAAGACUUGUGCUAAGUUGCUAAUACAAAAAUUACAAACUUGGAUACUUUCACAUUGGCACUCGCAGUAAUAAUAUAUCUAACUCCAAAGUGUAUAUCAAACUUUAAUUUAGACACAAUAAAAGAAAAAUGAAAAACAAGUUUCAAGUUUCAGCCUAAGAGACACUCGAUCAAUGAUGCUUAAGUCAGGACAACGUAGUAUCUUUCACCUCUCUUUUUUGUUGACAUCAAACACAUCCAAAGAACUGUUCUAUUGACUGCGAGGUGAACACAUUUGGAGCCGUUCGCUCGGGUUUCACCGUAGAGACGUGAAGCUGAUAUUUGAUGAACCUCUGCAAAUAAGAGAGAAUGAGUUAAACUAAAAGCAAAGUAAGAAUGUAAAUGAGGAAAUGAGGAAAGGACUUUACAGCUAGUUGUGUGCUGAUUUCCGGGUUUGUAUCGAUAUGCCAGUCAGGUUCUAGUUGUCUGACAAAGGAAGUUCUUCCUAUCUCUGUACUACAAAAGAGGACCUGCAAUUUCAUACUUACAGAAUUGUAAUUCUUGCACUUUUGUCAAAACAUAGAGAGAAAUAUUGAUAUGUCAUGCUUUGAUAAGACUAUUACAAAGCUAUUUGAGAUAGUUAACGGGUAAAACAUUGUCGAAGAAAGCUUGAUUUGUAUACCUUAUCUUUGACCAAACCACCAGAUGUGAAAACUCCUGCAUUCUCUAAAGCCUGUAGAACUUUGGCCUGCAUAUUUGAGCUCAAAAUGUGAGUUUCAGAAACUACUGAGAAUAAACCCGCUUGGCUCUGUCAACCGGGAUAGAGAUUACAAGAAUGCACAAACGUCUCAAGCAUUUAGUUGCACCAAUGAAUUCAAUCUCUUCCUCUAAUAAUGUAAAGAUAUGUUCUUAAGAAUCCUUCUAAACAAACAUUAUUCAUCGCCCAACUAUUAUCUAUACGAAAAUCCAUGUUAUGACCUACUGCCCGAAUAUUUAAGCUAACCAUGUUUAAAAUAACCACAAUUAAUUUACUGUUCAUGCUAGAGACUAGUUCCAACACAAAGGCCAACAAAAGAACACGAAUGAGUGAGAACAUUGACUAGAACAAGAAGUUGUUACUCACUUCGCUUUCAUCGUCAAGAACUCUUUCCAUGAGAUAUAAAUCACUAUACUUUGUAAUCUCUAGCAGAACUUCCAAAACAGAUGACCUCACUGUUGCUUGUUUCUGCACAAAAUCACUCAUGUCAGUUAGAGACGCAUCACACAUUAUACAAAUGAAAUGACAAAAGAAAAUAUGAUUACUUGGAGUUCUUCUGGACUUGUUUCCUCAAGAAUUACUCCAAGAAGACGGCAUGUUACCUAUAAAUGCAUAUUAGACAACUCAGUAAGGUGCUAAAACUCGUAUAAAAAACAAUUUGUCGAUGAUCUAACAUGGCCAAACACUAUCGGUAGCUCUGAGAAUUUCAAUGCUGAUAUGCAAAUUACCUUCCUUCCUUCACUAAGCUUCUGUCUAACUAUUUGCCCCAAGGUAGGCUGCAAUAAACAGGAAUCUAAAUUAUAUAACAGAACAAAGUGAAUACUGUAACACAAAAUCAAAUAGAGAAAAAGAGUGUUACUUUAACAGGUUGAAAGAACUGAUCAACAACAUCUUGCACCGCAUUAUCCUCACGAGGCGAAGAAAAUUCAGGAAGUACCGAAGCUACAUUCGACUGAGCAGCAGCAGCAGCAGCACUAGACGUUUCAGCAUUGUUAAUCCUACGCUUCGGCUGCCUUCUUUGACGAUGCUCCCCCGGCGUUCUUAUCGCCCUCCACGUAAAAAUCACCGCAAUCGCAAGCCCCGCAAUCGCACCAAUCGAUCUUGAAUCCUAAUCACAACAACGUCAACAACAAAAAACGAAUCAACUACAUAACAAUAACUCAAAAGUUGGAAUCUUUUUAAUCCCAAAUCACUCAAAUUUGAGCUAAAUCAUAACCUUAUGUAACUAAUUUCAUCAAUUUGAAGAAUCACUUCCCUAAUUCACCAAUUAAUCAGUCAAAAUUGGAUUCAAUUCCCAUCAUCGAAAACCAAAAUCUGACCCAGAUCCGAUAUAAAGAGGAGAGAUUGAGAAAAAAAACCAGAUUGCGAAUCGAUGAAGUAGAGAAAAGGCUUGACAUUUUGAAAGCAACAUAAGCGCUUAAACGCUUAAUCAACCGAACGAUCUCUUCAGUAGGCGACGGCGACGGCGAUUCCGCCAUUAAUUUCACCUUUCCUUCAAAGCGAAAUUCAAAUACGUCGUCGUUUUAAUCACGAAAGACUCGAACUUUCAGAUUCUUAGCUUCAGCUUUCGGAUAUUGGCACUGUUCUCGAGCCCUCCCUGGAGAAAAGAGGAAUUGUACUUUUUUUCCAUGGAACACAACUAGGCAAAGUCAAAGUGUUUGGACACGUGUCUUGUUUUACACGUGGCGGUAGAUGAGCAUGUGAGACCAUGGUUUGUAUCGUAGGGUGCGAUGGAUCUGAUUUAUAUGAAACGGUGAGUUUUGUUCUUGUUUAGAGGAAAUUUUACUCGAUGAAGUGGGAGGUAAUUAGAGGAGUAAGAAAGUUAGGAAACUAGAAUUGGUUUGAGGUUUGUUGUUGUUGGACACUUAAGCAAUCAUGGAGUAUCAUUUUACAUGUGAAAAGAAGGAAACAGAGAGAUGAACAUGAAGAACAAAAUAUUAUGUGAAAAAUGUAGGAAAAAAGCUAUUUACUUUAGUUGAAAAUUGCAAACUAUUUAAAUUAUCUGGUUUACAUUGUAAAAUCCUUGUCCUAGUCUAGUAUACAUCGUUUGAGAUCUUGAUUAGUUUUUCUAGCAAAAAUUUGAGAUAAUUUCUGUAAAAAGAGUGAAAAGUUUAGAUAGUCAGUUGAUAAACUUUUUCUGUCAACCAAACGCGUUCAGUUAAAAGAAAUAUAAAAAAACUUGUAUACAUAUCAUUCAUAUAAAGAUGAUAAAGAGGAUGAAGGAGAGAGACUUUCUUGCAUUGGUUGAAUAUCUUUGAGGGAAGAAACGUCGCCGUUUAGUUGCAUCUCUUUUUCGAGGUGAAAGCAAUAGCUCUCAAAAACUCUAAAACUCACUGUAACUCUAAAGUCAAGAAGAAAUAGAAGCUCUAACUCCAUUUUGUUCAGGUCCGCAUUGCUCACGCCUCCUACCCGAGCAUAGAACUCGUUGUUGUAGUGCCUGUGAAUAUGAAAUUAGUUAGUAAAAAAUCUUUCUUAAUUUCAUCUAACACAUGUCGAAAUCUCGAAAUCAAUAACUUAAAGGGGCACUUAACAUACGUAUAGUUACAAAGUUUGUCCUCAUUUUAUAUUGGUUAAAUAUAAAAUAUAAAAUGUAUCUUUCAUUUUGUUAAUCAAUUAAGAUACAACUAUACAUAGUUUUAUAAUUAGUCUAAUUUCACGAUAUAUGAGAAAUUCAUGAAAGGCUUACUUACACGUCGUCUAGUAUCUUGGAAGCAAUCAUGACGCAAGUGACGAGGAGUCUAUGAACAUUCAAGGAGACAACCAAAGAACCAGGAUGCCUAUGAGCCAACCGGUCUAUGUACACAUACCCAACAACGAAACACGCCGGGCUACAUUUUGUGUACUUGUAUAUCCUCUCAAGGUACUUUGCUAUACUUAUGCUUGGUGCUCUGACACCGUGAAAUGCCUCCAAGCUCUUCCCGAAUCCCGUAGUUUGCUUAGCUAACCACUCGUUUCGUGCCACGAGCUUCUCCAUCACAUGGGAGAUUAUAGUCAACACUCUUGGAGUGGCUGCUUCCGUUGGCGGCUCUGGUCCCACGACCGGGUCUAGUUCAUCGUCUCCGGCUACGGUUAACAUGGGUUAUCUUCAAUUCUCACGUUAAUGGGCCAUGUUGUACAGUUCGUUUUGGGUAUAGAUGGCUUGUAGAUUGGGUGGUGGAGAUACGAUGAGCUUAAGAUGUAACGUGGGGAUGUUAUCAUGUUUGGUCUGACUUCCAGCUUAUGAGAUGGAUUGACACGUGGCACCCUGCGAGAAGAUAGGAUUCCGAUGACUUUUGUAUUAAAUUAGAAUUAGUUAUCAAUAUCUUUAUUUAUCAAACAAAUAACUUUAUUUCCACUUAAUACUAGCAUUAUUGUUUUUUUUCCCUUUAAUUACAAAAAGUUUCCGGGUCUUGGUCCAUAAUUUUCUCGUCCGGGACUAGUAUAAUUUCCUUUGAAAAGUCUCACAGUACAAAAAUUUUACUACAUAUUCUUGAUGUUAUCUAUAUAUCAUUUUCUUUGCGUAAGGCAUUUUUAAAUAGUUAGGUUGGUGUGCAAAAAAAAAAAAAAGUUAGGUCUUUGAGGAUUAUUUCAAAAGAUUACUAGUUCAAAUUUUACAAUGUUAUCUUAAUAACAAAUUCUUUACCAAAUAGAUGACAAUUUCUUUUAGGUUAGGAAUCCCAAAUUUUCAGGGCAGCCUGAUCAAAAAGUUAGAAAUGCUAACAACAUAUUUCUAUUCAAGAGUCAACUGCAAAAAAUAUUUCCUAUACGUCUAGAAGAUUGAUUUUCUAGUUAUUUCACAUAUAUCAAAUUGUUUAGUUAUUUGAUAAUUAAUUAUUUUUACUAAACAUUUUUUAAUAAAUUAUUAACUAAUAAUAAUUUUCCUACCAAAAAAAUGAACCAAUAAUAAUUUAAAAGAAUUAAUUUUUUUCAAUUAUUACGUCUUGAAAUCUAAGAUUUAUUAAUAUCCAUUAAGUAUCGACCCGAACCAACGAGUUUUAAGGUUUGCCACAGAGCACAAAAUCUAUGGAGCAAGAAAAAAUCAGAUAGUUUUGACGAGCGAUAUGAAAUCACAAUUACCUGCAUGGCUUCAUAAUAAAUCACGUACGUCACCUGCAUGGCUUCAUAAUAAAUCACGUACGUCAAGGCUCAUAAUAACGCCACGUGGUUUUUCACCGCGUGGACACACGCUUUCGUUAAGUAUAAAAGAGCAACCCUACCUCUCUUUCUUCUACGUGAUUCGCACACCACUGUAAAAGUGUAAAAACUCUUUUUUUGUUCUUCUUCACGUUUCAUUCGAUUUAUAAAAAUAUUUUGUUCUUAGAUUGUAAUCUGUUUUCUUCGUAAUCUUCCAUCAUUGGGUUUUGAGUUUCUCCACAUUUUGCGAAAAAGUUUGUGAAUCGGACUAAUCGAUCUCGGAUCGAUCUCGGUCGUUAUAAGUGAGUGCUUCUUCCUCCGUAUAGAAGCUUUAAAACACGUUACACAUGCAUGUGUUUCUAUUCGAAACGUAAAAUAUUUCGACAUUUUCUAGCAAUUUAAUGUGUUUUACCCAAAACCCUAUCAUGCAUCUAUAUUUUACGAUCUGAAAUUCCAAAAUCAUAAUUUUCCUUCAAUGAUUUGCAUAUGAAAUCUUCGUGCAUCUAUUUUGUGCAGGAUCAUAUCUUUACGUGUGUUUUACUUAUCAAGAAACAACAUAAACGUCAGACUCUUUAAAUUUACAAAUUUAUCUUGUUCAUCAUGCAUUGUCCAAGUAUGGAGCCAAAGUGUGACCACUGUGCAACUUCACAAGCAGUGAUUUACUGCAAAUCCGAUUUGGCUAAACUAUGCCAAAACUGCGACUUCCACGUACACUCUGCGAAUCCUCUAUCUCAUAGACACUCACGCUCUUUGAUCUGCCAGAAAUGCUUCUCACAGCCAGCCGUAAUCCGCUGUCUCGGUGAGAAGGUUUCAUAUUGCCAAAGAUGUCAUUGGCACGCAAGCAACUGCUCGGAUUUAGGACACAGAGUUCAGAGGUUGAACCCUUUCUCUGGUUGUCCUUCUCCAACAGAUUUUGUCAAAAUGUGGUCUUCAAUUCUUGAACCUUCUGUCUCUAGUUUGGUUAGUCCGUUUGUUGGUUCUUUGCCCUUGAAUGAUCCCAAUAAUACCAUGUUUGGAAUGGCGAAAAUCAACGAAUUAGACGGUUUGAUCGGUUCCCCUUAUUCCAUGGUGCCACACAGCUUCAAUGUCACUCAGAAUUUCAGUGAUCAAUUGUCUUUCUUUUCCGUGGAAUCUAAGGUAAUAUAUAGAGGAAUUAAAAGUGUUGCUUAAGUUCUUGAUGAACAAUAUGGUUCUUAUUUGUGUGUGUAUUUCCAGGGAUAUCCUGAUUUGGUUCUUAAACUUGAAGAAGGCGAAGAAGAUUUAUGUGAAGGGCUUAACUUUGACAAUGCGCCGUUAAACUUUGACGUUGGAGAUGAUAUUAUCGGAUGUUCUUUAGAAGAACCCAUAGAACCGGACCAUACAGUACCAAAUUGCCUACUGAUCGACAAGAAUAACACAUCCGUUACCGCCUCAAACUUUACUAUAGACAAGGCUUUUGAGGUCUCUUUCGCUUUUUGUUGUUGUUGUAGUUUCUAGUACCUCAAGAAAAUUUUCUAAUGAAAAUUGUGUUAUUUUGUUUUCAGGCAUCGUCACCAGGACAACAAAUGAACAUCAACACUGGACUUCCGCUUCCUCUAUCACCUGUCUUGUUCGGACAAAUCCAUCCAUCGCUUAACAUCUCCAACGUCACAGGUGAAAGCAAUGCAGCUGAUUACCAGGAUUGUGGGAUGCCUCCAGGGUUUAUAACGAGUGAAGCACCAUGGGAAUCGAAUCUUGAAGUUAGUUGUCCACAAGCAAGUACUCAAGCUAAAUUGAGAUACAUGGAGAAGAAAUUAAGCGCUCGUAAGUUUAUUACUAAUCAUUACAAAACAUAGUUUAUAUUAACUUGGAUCAAGUUUAAUAUUGUGUUUUUUUUUUUUUUUGAAUUAUAGUUUUGGGAAACAGAUUCGAUAUGCAUCGCGCAAAGCAAGAGCUGACACGAGGAAAAGAGUGAAAGGAAGAUUUGUGAAAGCUGGUGACAAUUAUGAUUAUGACCCAUCAUCACCGACGACAAACAAUUGAAAUUUACAAAAAAUAAUGUACAGUCUUCUUUCCCAAACCGACACAAAUCAUGCUUCAUGAUGAUGAUAAGGUUGGUAAAAACAGUUUCUUGUCGGAAAAGUAAUGUAAUCGUUUGUCUUAUUUGUGUAUAGUUUGUAUGGAUCGAAUAAAUCAACAUGCUGAGGCAUGGGAACGUUGGAGAAAACAAAGAUGGUGGAAGCCAAAAUGGUGAAAAUAUCGUAAUUUUGCGCCUUUAUAUUUAUCUUUGUUUUUGAUAUUUUAUAAGUUGGGUUUUUUCCUUUUAUACAAAUAAAUUUCUUAGCUGAUUUUGAUAAAUAAAGUAGCAGUGAGCCAGUGAUUACAAUCUGCUUCAUUCUCUGUAUAAAGGUGGUACAGAGCACGCGUUUAGCAUUGCAUUAAGAAGAUGUUUCACUUGUGAAAAGUCUAGUUAUUAAUUAUUAUAGCUCUUAUGUACCUAAUUAAGGAAAAUGAUAAGUCCAAAGAAGUAGUGAGAAACACAACAACAACAAAAAGAAACCAAAUUGAUGUCAGAAAUAGAAACCCAAAUAAAUGUAUAAUAAAAUUCCAAACAGACAGUCUAUAAUUCUAUAUGCCGCUCUAAUUUAAUCCGGCUUCAGCAUUGAGUUUGGUGAUUUUAUUUUAUUUUAUUUUUUUUACAGCAAUUUUUUAUGGAUUUUGUUUUAUUCUUUUACAGGAAAUUUCUUUUAUGGAUUUUAGUUGUGGUUACAAUCACUGCAUAAUAGAAAAAUUCAAAAAGAUUCGAGGAAUAUACUCCACUCAAUUACAAAGGAUCCUUCUUUCUUUCCUUUCUAUUGCAGAUAUUUUUUGCUAUUUUAGUCAAUACCCAUUUUUUAAAAUUCUAAGCUUCAUAAAAUUAAAUUUCCCAGAUUUUUCUUAAUAGAAAACUGCAUAAAAACCCUAGGCAUAUUUAUAUCUUACACCAAAAAAAAACUAAAAAUCAGAGAAAUACAAACGGAACCUCAUGAUUAUCUUGUUCACUUCUACUCUCCACGGUGGCUUCUCCCACCGUCGUCACCGACGGUAAAACAACGUGGAAGUCAUGAUCUCCGACGAGGCACCGGCGCGUGAGUUUCUGACAAGAAGUGCAUAGCACGCGCCUUACGUGUCUCCAAGCUAGAAAAUUCGCUCCAUGAACCCACCGGUCACAUUUUCUACAGAGAAACGCCGAGUCAGCCUCACAGAACACGGAGGCAUCGCCGCCACAAAGCUCACACCUAACCGGAACACUCGGUCUCGUGCAAAGACUCCGGCAACCAUCACCGUGGCUUCUUCUGCUCUCUUCUUCAUUAAAGAUCAAGCCUCUACACAUUUUUCUAAAUCUUUCUCUCUCUCUUGUUCUUGUGGGUGAUAUUGAGGAAAGAAGAUUUGUUAUAGGAAAAACGUUAUACAUUUAUAUAGGAAAUAGGAAUCUUGUUUCUUUAAAACUAAAUGGAGAUUUUUCUUUUUUGUCAUAAAAUAAUGAUGUGUGUUGUUUUGUUGUUGUACACGUGGAUGAAUCAUGCCCUGUUAUUUUGACGUAAAUGCCCUUAUGAUGGCAAAAUCGUUAAUUUCAAAAUUAAAAACGUUUCUCCUCCAAGCGAUCUCUUGUCCUCAUAUUGGACGCACAACUUUCAAGUUUUCGAAACAAACUCCUAGUACUAGCACGACUUCUUUUGGUUUAUAUCACCCACCACAUCAAAUAUGAAUCAUUAUUGACUGUUGUGGUUUUAUUUUUUUGGGGAUGAUAUGAUGUUAAAUUGUUAAUUGUAUUCUAUUGUAAUGUGAUUACGAUGUACGAUAAAAAACCAAACUAUUAAGAGUUUAAGAUUCAAACAGAUGCACCUAAAGGUACAAAAGUUAACUAAUACAAUCGAUUUCCCAUAAACAUAUAUGAAAGAUUGCGAGUUUAGUUAUAUGAUAAUAAAUUUACAUGAUAGUUAAGUUUCUAGAAUUAAACCAAAAAUGAUUUUAGAAAUAAUAAAAUGGUACAUAAUUACAUAUUAUCUCAUAUGUUUCUUAUGUGAGAUACAUACGAACAACGUCCGACAUCGGAAAAUUAUUAGAAUAAUAACAGUCUAAUAUAUAAUAAAUCAAUUUCUAUUUCAAUUAUUAUGAGAUUUUUUGGGAAGAAACCUAAAAAUAAUCGGUGCGUAUAUUGUGUGUUUAUGUUGCGCAUGAUUUUUACGUGUGUUUUACUUAUCAAAAAACAACAUAAACGUCAGAUUCUUUUCUAUAUAUACACUUUUUUUAAAAUUUACAAAUUUAUCUUGUUCAUUAUGUUUUCAAGUAUGGAGCCAAAGUGUAACUACUAUGCAAUUUCACAAACAGUGAUUUACUGCAAAUCCGAUUUGGCUAAACUAUGCCAAAACUGCGACUUCCACGUAUACUAUGCGAAUCCUCUAUCUCACAGGUACACAUGCUCUUUGAUCUGCCAGAAAUGCUUUUCACAACCAGCCGCAAUCCGCUGCAUCAUGCGUAUUUAGUUAUUGNNNNNNNNNNNNNNNNNNNNNNNNNNNNNNNNNNNNNNNNNNNNNNNNNNNNNNNNNNNNNNNNNNNNNNNNNNNNNNNNNNNNNNNNNNNNNNNNNNNNNNNNNNNNNNNNNNNNNNNNNNNNNNNNNNNNNNNNNNNNNNNNNNNNNNNNNNNNNNNNNNNNNNNNNNNNNNNNNNNNNNNNNNNNNNNNNNNNNNNNNNNNNNNNNNNNNNNNNNNNNNNNNNNNNNNNNNNNNNNNNNNNNNNNNNNNNNNNNNNNNNNNNNNNNNNNNNNNNNNNNNNNNNNNNNNNNNNNNNNNNNNNNNNNNNNNNNNNNNNNNNNNNNNNNNNNNNNNNNNNNNNNNNNNNNNNNNNNNNNNNNNNNNNNNNNNNNNNNNNNNNNNNNNNNNNNNNNNNNNNNNNNNNNNNNNNNNNNNNNNNNNNNNNNNNNNNNNNNNNNNNNNNNNNNNNNNNNNNNNNNNNNNNNNNNNNNNNNNNNNNNNNNNNNNNNNNNNNNNNNNNNNNNNNNNNNNNNNNNNNNNNNNNNNNNNNNNNNNNNNNNNNNNNNNNNNNNNNNNNNNNNNNNNNNNNNNNNNNNNNNNNNNNNNNNNNNNNNNNNNNNNNNNNNNNNNNNNNNNNNNNNNNNNNNNNNNNNNNNNNNNNNNNNNNNNNNNNNNNNNNNNNNNNNNNNNNNNNNNNNNNNNNNNNNNNNNNNNNNNNNNNNNNNNNNNNNNNNNNNNNNNNNNNNNNNNNNNNNNNNNNNNNNNNNNNNNNNNNNNNNNNNNNNNNNNNNNNNNNNNNNNNNNNNNNNNNNNNNNNNNNNNNNNNNNNNNNNNNNNNNNNNNNNNNNNNNNNNNNNNNNNNNNNNNNNNNNNNNNNNNNNNNNNNNNNNNNNNNNNNNNNNNNNNNNNNNNNNNNNNNNNNNNNNNNNNNNNNNNNNNNNNNNNNNNNNNNNNNNNNNNNNNNNNNNNNNNNNNNNNNNNNNNNNNNNNNNNNNNNNNNNNNGUAGUUUGCUUAGCUAACCACUCGUUUCGUGCCACGAGCUUCUCCAUCACAUGGGAGAUUAUAGUCAACACUCUUGGAGUGGCUGCUUCCGUUGGCGGCUCUGCUCCCACGACCGGGUCUAGUUCAUCGUCUCCGGCUACGGUUAACAUGGGUUAUCUUCAAUUCUCACGUUAAUGGGCCAUGUUGUACAGUUCGUUUUGGGUAUAGAUGGCUUGUAGAUUGGGUGGUGGAGAUACGAUGAGCUUAAGAUGUAACGUGGGGAUGUUAUCAUGUUUGGUCUGACUUCCAGCUUAUGAGAUGGAUUGACACGUGGCACUCUGCGAGAAGAUAGGAUUCCGAUGACUUUUGUAUUAAAUUAGAAUUAGUUAUCAAUAUCUUUAUUUAUCAAACAAAUAACUUUAUUUCCACUUAAUACUAGCAUUAUUGUUUUUUUUCCCUUUAAUUACAAAAAGUUUCCGGGUCUUGGUCCAUAAUUUUCUCGUCCGGGACUAGUAUAAUUUCCUUUGAAAAGUCUCACAGUACACAAAUUUUACUACAUAUUCUUGAUGUAAAUACUAAAUAUAGUAUACGCGUUGAUAGAUAUAAACUAAUGUUAGAUACUUAAAUAUUUGAAAGAACUCAAGAAGGCAUACGCGUUGCCGUUCAGUCAUACAUGUCAAAUAAGGAGAGUUCAUUGUAUUAUAAUGAUUCGUGGCCAUUUUUUUUUCAAUCUCUGUGUUUUUUAGUUCAUUUAUCUUUGUUUACAUUAAAAAUGAUCAUGUUUCGUACUUUUAUAUCAAUCAAAUCUAUAUAUCAUUUUCUUUGCGUAAGGCAUUUUUAAAUAGUUAGGUUGGUGUGCAAAAAAAAAAAAAAAAGUUAGGUCUUUGAGGAUUAUUUCAAAAGCUUACUAGUUCAAAUUUUACAAUGUUAUCUUAAUAACAAAUUCUUUACCAAAUAGAUGACAAUUUCUUUUAGGUUAGGAAUCCCAAAUUUUCAGGGCAGCCUGAUCAAAAAGUUAGAAAUGCUAACAACAUAUUUCUAUUCAAGAGUCAACUGCAAAAAAUAUUUCCUAUACGUCUAGAAGAUUGAUUUUCUAGUUAUUUCACAUAUAUCAAAUUGUUUAGUUAUUUGAUAAUUAAUUAUUUUUACUAAACAUUUUUUAAUAUACUAUGAACCAAUAAUAAUUUUCCUACCAAAAAAAAAUGAACCAAUAAUAAUUUGAAAGAAUUAAUUUUUUUCAAUUAUUACGUCUUGAAAUCUAAGAUUUAUUAAUAUCCAUUAAGUAUCGACCCGAACCAACGAGUUUUAAGGUUUGCCACAGAGCACAAAAUCUAUGGAGCAAGAAAAAAUCAGAUAGUUUUGACGAGCGAUAUGAAAUCACAAUUACCUGCAUGGCUNNNNNNNNNNNNNNNNNNNNNNNNNNNNNNNNNNNNNNNNNNNNNNNNNNNNNNNNNNNNNNNNNNNNNNNNNNNNNNNNNNNNNNNNNNNNNNNNNNNNNNNNNNNNNNNNNNNNNNNNNNNNNNNNNNNNNNNNNNNNNNNNNNNNNNNNNNNNUUCUUCCUCCGUAUAGAAGCUUUUAAAAAACAUGCAUGUGUUUCUAUUCGAAACGUAAAAUAUUUCGACAUUUUCUAGCAAUUUAAUGUGUUUUACCCAAAACCCUAUCAUGCAUCUAUAUUUUACGAUCUGAAAUUCCAAAAUCAUAAUUUUCCUUCAAUGAUUUGCAUAUGAAAUCUUCGUGCAUCUAUUUUGUGCAGGAUCAUAUCUUUACGUGUGUUUUACUUAUCAAGAAACAACAUAAACGUCAGACUCUUUAAAUUUACAAAUUUAUCUUGUUCAUCAUGUGUCCAAGUAUGGAGCCAAAGUGUGACCACUGUGCAACUUCACAAGCAGUGAUUUACUGCAAAUCCGAUUUGGCUAAACUAUGCCAAAACUGCGACUUCCACGUACACUCUGCGAAUCCUCUAUCUCAUAGACACUCACGCUCUUUGAUCUGCCAGAAAUGCUUCUCACAGCCAGCCGUAAUCCGCUGUCUCGGUGAGAAGGUUUCAUAUUGCCAAAGAUGUCAUUGGCACGCAAGCAACUGCUCGGAUUUAGGACACAGAGUUCAGAGGUUGAACCCUUUCUCUGGUUGUCCUUCUCCAACAGAUUUUGUCAAAAUGUGGUCUUCAAUUCUUGAACCUUCUGUCUCUAGUUUGGUUAGUCCGUUUGUUGGUUCUUUGCCCUUGAAUGAUCCCAAUAAUACCAUGUUUGGAAUGGCGAAAAUCAACGAAUUAGACGGUUUGAUCGGUUCCCCUUAUUCCAUGGUGCCACACAGCUUCAAUGUCACUCAGAAUUUCAGUGAUCAAUUGUCUUUCUUUUCCGUGGAAUCUAAGGUAAUAUAUAGAGGAAUUAAAAGUGUUGCUUAAGUUCUUGAUGAACAAUAUGGUUCUUAUUUGUGUGUGUAUUUCCAGGGAUAUCCUGAUUUGGUUCUUAAACUUGAAGAAGGCGAAGAAGAUUUAUGUGAAGGGCUUAACUUUGACAAUGCGCCGUUAAACUUUGACGUUGGAGAUGAUAUUAUCGGAUGUUCUUUAGAAGAACCCAUAGAACCGGACCAUACAGUACCAAAUUGCCUACUGAUCGACAAGAAUAACACAUCCGUUACCGCCUCAAACUUUACUAUAGACAACACAUCCGUUACCGCCUCAAACUUUACUAUAGACCAGGUUUCUAGUACCUGAAGAAAUUUUCUAAUGAAAAUUGUGUUAUUUUGUUUUCAGGCAUCGUCACCAGGACAACAAAUGAACAUCAACACUGGACUUCCGCUUCCUCUAUCACCUGUCUUGUUCGGACAAAUCCAUCCAUCGCUUAACAUCUCCAACGUCACAGGUGAAAGCAAUGCAGCUGAUUACCAGGAUUGUGGGAUGCCUCCAGGGUUUAUAACGAGUGAAGCACCAUGGGAAUCGAAUCUUGAAGUUAGUUGUCCACAAGCAAGAACCCAAGCUAAGUUGAGAUACAUGGAGAAGAAAUUAAAGCGCUCGUAAGUUUAUUACUAAUCAUUACAAAACAUAGUUUAUAUUAACUUGGAUCAAGUUUAAUAUUGUGUUUUUUUUUUUUUGAAUUAUAGUUUUGGGAAACAGAUUCGAUAUGCAUCGCGCAAAGCAAGAGCUGACACGAGGAAAAGAGUGAAAGGAAGAUUUGUGAAAGCUGGUGACAAUUAUGAUUAUGACCCAUCAUCACCGACGACAAACAAUUGAAAUUUACAAAAAUAAUGUACAGUCUUCUUUCCCAAACCGACACAAAUCAUGCUUCAUGAUGAUGAUAAGGUUGGUAAAAACAGUUUCUUGUCGGAAAAGUAAUGUAAUGGUUUGUCUUAUUUGUGUAUAGUUUGUAUGGAUCGAAUAAAUCAACAUGCUGAGGCAUGGGAACGUUGGAGAAAACAAAGAUGGUGGAAGCCAAAAUGGUGAAAAUAUCGUAAUUUUGCGCCUUUAUAUUUAUCUUUGUUUUUGAUAUUUUAUAAGUUGGGUUUUUUCCUUUUAUACAAAUAAAUUUCUUAGCUGUUUUUGAUAAAUAAAGUAGCAGUGAUUACAAUCUGCUUCAUUCUCUGUAUAAAGGUGGUACAGAGCACGCGUUUAGCAUUGCAUUAAGAAGAUGUUUCACUUGUGAAAAGUCUAGUUAUUAAUUAUUAUAGCUCUUAGAGCAACAACAAUGGGAGAACCUUAAAGGUUCUACCAAUAGUUUCUUGUAAUAUAAGCCCCAAAAAUAAAUCCAAACAUAAAUAAAAGCCAAGGUACGUUCCUAAUUUAAGGUUUUUUUGUUGCUGCAAGAGGUGCUACGUGGCAUCAUUUUAUUGGCAAGAAUUGUGAGAUAAACAAAAACAAUUGUUCUUUCGCGUUUCAGUUCUCUCUCUUCUCGACCCUCUCUCUCUUCUUUUUGUUUUCUCCGACGGCGAAACUCACCAAAUCUUCAAUUCCGGCGAUUUUGAUUAUCAAAUCGGAAGUAAAUGGCGAAGCCUUUGUACACAGUAAGCCGUGAUACUCAUUUCCACCGUCGGCGUGGUCACCAACAGUAGUUCGUUGACCUAAUCAAUAGGUUCUGAAAAUUAAAUCGGAGAGAAAGGCGAUUCUAGUGGCUCCAAACGCUUCCUCACGGUACGAAUCUCUCUGUAUAUUUUUUAUUGUAUGAUUUGAUUAGGGUUAUUUAGAUGUUAACAAAAUUAGGGUUUGUGAUAUGAGAUUUGUUUUGCUAGAAAUUAGGGUUUUUGAUUGGUAAACGCAAUUUUGGGUUUUUGAAUAGAUAAUGAGUCUCUUAAUCUGUUAAUUUGGGUUAUUGAAUACAUAAUCUGAGAUUAAAGUUUUGUAUUUGAUCUUGAUUCGUGUAAAAAAAUCUGCUGAUCCACCAAAGUUAGUGAUUUGUGCCUUUUCUUUGAUUUAUGACCUUUGACUGUGUGGUUUCUGUUGCAGGAAUUGAAGUUUGUGUUUCCUAACUCUCAGAGAAUAAAUCGUGGUGGUCAGGUAUGUGUGUUGUUCUGGCUUCUGUACUAUAAUCCAUUUCGAAGUAAUUUAAAACUUGAUUUCAAACUCUAUUAAACAUUGUCUUUGUGUUUGUGUUUGUGUUUCCUAAUGUAAUUUAAAAAGUAGUUGAGUCUGUCCAACAAUGCAGAAUCUAGAUUUAAAACUUGACUAAUAUAAACCAUCAUUUGAUAAAUGAAUCAAGAAUCUAGAGUUCAGUUUUUAAAUGAAUGCAUUGUGAUAAAUGAUUAUGACUUGUUGUAGGUUAAAGUCUGAGGAGUCUAAAUCAUAGUUAUUAGUAUGUCAUUGAUUGCUUCUCUUUGAUUGCAUCUCUUCGAUUGAUUGCUCUCUGUGAUUAGAUUAGGUUAGAUAUGAUCAUUAUCAUAGUUAUGAUCUCUGUUAAAAUAGGUUAAAGUCUCUGUUAUCUUGCAUGGUUGAGAGUAGGUUAAAGUGUAUGUCAUUCAUUGCUUAAAGUUAACAGCUAACCAUCACUUCAACUUAAGACUGAAGCUUUUUUAAUAGCUUCAACUCUAGUUAAUUCAAACCUAACCAUAUUCACUCCUCUUUAACAUCCGCAACUCUAUUAAACAUUGAACCAUAAUCCUCUUUUCUUCAUUGUCUUCUUAAAGCAAAAACCACAGCUCUUAUCUUCUCCUUUUAACACAAACCAGAAACAUUUUGAUAUGGAUUCAAGGAAUCCAUAUACCAAUCCUUCAAGCUUUUUAAACCUCUUAAGUUCUCAACAAGAUAACCCCAUGCCUCCACCAAAUCAGUAUGCUGGUUUUUCAUUUAGUGCACCUUGGAUUGACCCAAAUCAAGCUCCAACGCCUGCUGAAGAGCCUGUUGCAGACCGCAAAUCAAGACGUAAAUGGUCACCAACAGAAGAUGUGAUUCUCAUUAGUGCCUGGCUCAACACCUCCAAGGAUGCUGUUGUCUCCAAUGAGCAAAAAGCCACAGCUUUCUGGCAACGCAUUGCAGACUACUUUGCAGCAAGUCCCAAGCUGAGAGGUCUGCAAAAGAGAGCUCCAUUAUGCUGUAAACAAAGGUGGGCAAAGAUAAAUGAGGGAGUCUGUAAGUUUGUAGGAAGCUAUGAGGCUGCAACCAAACAGCAGACCAGUGGCCAGAAUGAGAAUGAUGUGGUGAACUUGGCUCACCAGAUCUUCUACAAUGAUCACAAGGCGAAGUUCACACUUGAGCAUGCUUGGAGGGAGCUUCGCCAUGAUCAGAAGUGGUGCGGAUCAUCAACAAGUAAAGACAGUGGGUCAGCAAAGAGGAAGAGGUUUGAGGACGGCUCUGCACAGGCCUCAUGCUCUAUGCCAGUCAACAUUGACGAGGAAGAGCCUCGUCCCACUGGUGUUAAGGCAGCCAAAGCCACAGCCAAAGCCAAAGCCAAGACAACAAGUCAAAUUGGAGAUGAAGACAAGACUCUGAAGGAGUUACAUUGUAUCUGGGAGAUUAAGGAGAAAGAUUUAGUUUUCAAAGAGAAGCUAAUCAAUGUUAAGGAGAAGCUUAGUAGGACUAAACUGCUAGACACUUUGAUGCUAAAAACAGAGCCUCUAACUAACAUAGAGAUGACUCUUAAGAACAAGCUCAUAAUGGAUUUGUUGUCCUAAGCUUAAGUUUGUUUUUAUGUUCUAUUUAAGCGAAGUAUGUUUUAAUUAUCUGUUUUAAGUUUAACUAUGUCUUUAGUUUAUGUUUGAAGUAUGUCUGAAUGUGUUUUGCUAUUAAUGAAAUGAUUUCUGUUUAAGCUAAGUAUGCUUGUCUUCAACUGAAACUAAACUAACUUGAAUGUUAGAUGUGUUUGGUCUGAUGACUUCUCUUAUUAACAAUUAUGCAGGUGAGCCGAGUAAGAGACACAUGUGACACCAAUGCUUUUGUGAUUUAGUGCCGACUUCACUUGUAAUAGACAAUAGUGAGACAGAGUUGUUUUGUGUUUUUGUGUCGACAUCUCUUCUACACAUGACACUAGUAUUUUGUAUUUUUGUGCCGACAAUAUUCAGACUUGUAAUUUAGUUUGUUUGAUACUUUUAUUUUCAAAUUAUGUUUCUUUAGUUUCUCUUCAUAUUUAAACCGAACACUCCUCUUCUUCUUUCCCAAAACAAUCUUAUUCUUCUUCUUCUUCUUCUCCAAAACAACAUAUCUCUUUUCUCCAAAACACUAUUUCUCUAUAAAACAAUCGUUUGGGGAAAACAAUCUUAAUCUUCUCCUUCUUCAAAACACCAUCACCAAUUCUUAUUCUUCUUCUUCUUCUUCUACAAAACACUAUCUUUUUUACUACGAUUCUUUUUUAGAAAAAUGGGAUCUUCUUCAAAUUAUAAUCUCAACGAAAUGUUGAACGAUAAAUUUGAUCAAUAUAUCGACGAAACAUUAGAGAAUUAUGGUGAUCGUCAACAACAACAAGUCAAGAAAAAAAAAAAACGAGCAUAUAUUGAAAGAGAGCGUGAACAAGGUCACAUCCAGUUAUGGAACGACUAUUUCUCUGAAGAUGCAACAUUCCCUCCGCAUAUAUUUCGACGCCGUUUCAGAAUGAACAAGCACUUGUUCAUGCGUAUUGUUGAUCGACUCUCCAAUGAAGUUCCAUUCUUUGAACAAAAAAGAGAUGCUACCGGAAGGCUCGGUUUCUCGGCACUACAGAAGGCUACAGCAGCAAUUCGUAUGUUGGCAUAUGGUCAUGCGGCUGAUGCGGUUGACGAAUAUCUACGAAUUGGUGAAAGUACUUCGAUGUCAUGUUUACACCAUUUUGUUGAUGGAAUCAUCUAUUUGUUCGGAGAUGAGUACUUAAGAAGACCCACACGAGAAGAUCUUAUACGACUACUCCAUAUUGGAGCGGGACGUGGAUUUCCCGGGAUGAUAGGAAGCAUAGAUUGUAUGCAUUGGGAGUGGAAGAAUUGCCCCACAGCUUGGAAAGGGCAAUAUACACGUGGAUCCGGCAAACCAACAAUCGUUUUAGAGGCUGUUGCUUCCCAAGAUCUUUGGAUAUGGCACGCGUUUUUUGGACCUCCAGGUACCUUAAACGAUAUAAAUAUUCUUGAUCGAUCACCAGUUUUUGAUGAUAUAUUACAAGGUAAAGCUCCGAAAGUGAAAUACGUAGUCAACGGGAACGACUAUCAUUUGGCUUACUAUCUCACAGAUGGCAUUUAUCCUAAAUGGGCUACAUUUAUCCAAUCUAUUUCUAUUCCACAAGGUCAAAAAGCUUCUUUAUUUGCUACAAAUCAAGAGGCUUGCCGCAAAGAUGUUGAACGUGCUUUUGGAGUUUUGCAAGCUCGAUUUGCCAUUGUAAAAAAUCCGGCUCUUAUUUGGGAUAAGGUAAAAAUAGCAAAGAUUAUGCGAGCAUGUAUAAUUCUUCAUAAUAUGAUAGUAGAGGAUGAACGAGAUGGGUACACUCAGUUUGAUGUCACCGAAUUCCAACACCCGGAAUCAACCACAUCUUCACAAGUGGAUUUCACAUACUCUACAGAAAUGCCUUCAAAUCUGGGUAAUAUGAUGGCCACUCGAUCCGAAAUACGAGAUCGGACUAAACAUGAACAACUGAAAGCUGAUUUGGUUGAGCAUAUUUGGCGACAAUUUGGCAUAAACUAAGCUAACGACUACUCGUUAUUCCGUUUUUUUUUUUGUAUUUUUUUUUUUUUGCUUUUAUGCUUUCUAUGUUUAAAAUUCUUAGGAAUUUGUAAUAUUUAUUAAGUUUUAUCAUAUAAAAAUGUUUAUAAUUUUUCAUUUUAAAAAAAAUAUAUUUUUUUUAAGAAACCUAGUUAAGGACUCACCAUUGGACAAAGAAAAUUUUAAGGAUUCAUCAAAAUUUCUUAACUUAAAAAUUGUUGUAAAGUAAGAUUAAAAUAUGUUUAAGGAUCCUUUUAAGGACUCAUUCAUUAGGGUUGCUCUUAUCUACCUAAUUAAGGAAAAUGAUAAGUCCAAAGAAGUAGUGAGAAACACAACAACAACAAAAAGAAACCAAAUUGAUGUCAGAAAUAGAAACCCAAAUAAAUGUAUAAUAAAAUUCCAAACAGACAGUCUAUAAUUCUAUAUGCCGCUCUAAUUUAAUCCGGCUUCAGCAUUGAGUUUGGUGAUUUUAUUUUAUUUUAUUUUAUUUACAGCAAUUUUUUGAUGGAUUUUGUUUUAUUCUUUUACAGGAAAUUUCUUUUAUGGAUUUUAGUUGUGGUUACAAUCACUGCAUAAUAGAAAAAUUCAAAAAGAUUCGAGGAAUAUACUCCACUCAAUUACAAAGGAUCCUUCUUUCUUUCCUUUCUAUUGCAGAUAUUUUUUGCUAUUUUAGUCAAUACCCAUUUUUUAAAAUUCUAAGCUUCAUAAAAUUAAAUUUCCCAGAUUUUUCUUAAUAGAAAAUUGCAUAAAAACCCUAGGCAUAUUUAUAUCUUACACCAAAAAAAAACUAAAAAUCAGAGAAAUACAAACGGAACCUCAUGAUUAUCUUGUUCACUUCUACUCUCCACGGUGGCUUCUCCCACCGUCGUCACCGACGGUAAAACAACGUGGAAGUCAUGAUCUCCGACGAGGCACCGGCGCGUGAGUUUCUGACAAGAAGUGCAUAGCACGCGCCUUACGUGUCUCCAAGCUAGAAAAUUCGCUCCAUGAACCCACCGGUCACAUUUUCUACAGAGAAACGCCGAGUCAGCCUCACAGAACACGGAGGCAUCGCCGCCACAAAGCUCACACCUAACCGGAACACUCGGUCUCGUGCAAAGACUCCGGCAACCAUCACCGUGGCUUCUUCUGCUCUCUUCUUCAUUAAAGAUCAAGCCUCUACACAUUUUUCUAAAUCUUUCUCUCUCUCUUCUUCUUGUGAGUGAUAUUGAGGAAAGAAGAUUUGUUAUAGGAAAAACGUUAUACAUUUAUAUAGGAAUCUUGUUUCUUUAAAACUAAAUGGAGAUUUUUAUUUUUUGUCAUAAAAUAAUGAUGUGUGUUGUUUUGUUGUUGUACACGUGGAUGAAUCAUGCCCUGUUAUUUUGACGUAAAUGCCCUUAUGAUGGCAAAAUCGUUAAUUUCAAAAUUAAAAACGUUUCUCCUCCAAGCGAUCUCUUGUCCUCAUAUUGGACGCACAACUUUCAAGUUUUCGAAACAAACUCCUAGUACUAGUACGACUUCUUUUGGUUUAUAUCACCCACCACAUCAAAUAUGAAUCAUUAUUGACUGUUGUGGUUUUAUUUUUUUGGGGGAUGAUAUGAUGUUAAAUUGUUAAUUGUAUUCUAUUGUAAUGUGAUUACGAUGUACGAUAAAAAACCAAACUAUUAAGAGUUUAAGAUUCAAACAGAUGCACCUAAAGGUACAAAAGUUAACUAAUACAAUCGAUUUCCCAUAAACAUAUAUGAAAGAUUGCGAGUUUAGUUAUAUGAUAGUAAAUUUACAUGAUAGUUAAGUUUCUAGAAUUAAACCAAAAAUGAUUUUAGAAAUAAUAAAAUGGUACAUAAUUACAUAUUAUCUCAUAUGUUUCUUAUGUGAGAUACAUACGAACAACGUCCGACAUCGGAAAAUUAUUAGAAUAAUAACAGUCUAAUAUAUAAUAAAUCAAUUUCUAUUUCAAUUAUUAUGAGAUUUUUUGGGAAGAAACCUAAAAAUAAUCGGUGCGUAUAUUGUGUGUUUAUGUUGCGCAGGAUCUUUACGUGUGUUUUACUUAUCAAAAAACAACAUAAACGUCAGAUUCUUUUCUAUAUAUACACUUUUCUUUAAAUUUACAAAUUUAUCUUGUUCAUUAUGUUUUCAAGUAUGGAGCCAAAGUGUAACUACUGUGCAACUUCACAAACAGUGAUUUACUGCAAAUCCGAUUUGGCUAAACUAUGCCAAAACUGCGACUUCCACGUAUACUAUGCGAAUCCUCUAUCUCACAGGUACACAUGCUCUUUGAUCUGCCAGAAAUGCUUUUCACAACCAGCCGCAAUCCGCUGCAUCAUGCGUAUUUAGUUAUUGGUCUAAAACGGACAAUAUAUAUCAUACUAAUGAGAAAACUAGAUUGAUUUUGGAAAGACCAACAAUAUUUAAGAUUUUGUUCUAUUGAAUUUUGUGACAAUUUUGUAAACAAAAAAAAUUAAGGAUUGUUUAGAAAUAAAAGAUACUACAAGUGAUUAGUGGAGGAUAUAUAGGGGGUACGCAUAAAUAACGGCUAAAAUUUAGGGUGAUAUCAAAUAUCGUUUUUAUUGGUCGUCUUUGGGACAUUGUGUGGUGGUUAAUCAGUCAACUCUUAAUUAAUUAUAUAAGCUUACUAGCAGAAGAAUCAAAGAGGACUUCUUGUAUGGUUCACAUUUAAAGAUUUAAAUUUGGGUUGAUUUAUCAGUCAUUUAUUUGUUUUUUAUUAGUGAAAGCUACCCCAUUAAUUAAGUUAAUUUAAAAGGUUUGAUAAUUAGAAAUGCUAUAUACAUUGCGUGUGAUUGCUUACUAGUACGAAUAUAAGUAACCGAGAAGCAUUUUAACAUCACAAUAAUAUUCGAAUUAUUAGUUAACAUCACAUUAUUCGUAAACAGUGUUUGUAAUAUAUUCGCCAGAUCCUCUUACUAAAUUAAUUUAUUAAUCUGUUUUGAAAUCAACUUAAUAUUUAAGAUAAUUACAUACUACAAUUCUUAAAACAUAUGAUAAUACCUAAUCCAAUAGGACGAAAUGAAAUAAUUAUUUGAAGCCUAUUCGUUUGAAUACUUAAGUUUCUUACUUUCUUUUGGCAAAGUAGACAGUUAAACCCAUAUUUAUGUUAGUAAAAUAUAUUCUUGAAUCCCUUUAACCAAAAGUAUAAGAUUAGAUCGUUUAAAAUAUAAGCAACACAUCAUAUAUGUCGCCAUCGUUUACACAUGUAAUGAUCGGAGUCAUACAUUUCGUUAACUCAAAUUCUAUAAACUUGUACAAAAAUUGCGUGAACAUAAUGAUAAUUAUAAUGUAUAUAUAAUAUUCACAAAUAUCGCGAAUGAUAUUAAUUAAUGUUAUUUAGAUUCUUCCACUGCAUAUGUUUAAUAUUGAAGAUUAAUCGGACCAAAUAAAAACUUUGGCAUCAUUAUGUAAUGUAAUUUGAGUAGGCAUUUUUCAUGCUGGUUCAAUUCUGAAUCAAAGAGACGUUUCAAAGAUUUUUUAAGUGGUAAAGGGCUCACGGCUGUGAGUUCCCCCUCCUGGGUUCGAUUCGGGUUGGCCACCUAGCCGCUCCCUUAACGAUGGGAUAAAGCGUACCCGGAUGCAAGGCCUCGUAGAUUAGUCUUUGGGCCUAGAAAACCUUUGGGAUGACCACGGUUAUAAAAAAAAAAUAAAAAUAAAGAAAUAUCAAAAGCUCCAGAAAAGAAAGACUUUUAUAAAAAAAAGCACAAGAGAGUAUUAAUACAUAAGAAUAUAUUAGACUCUUUCAUGUCUAUCUUUUAUUAAAGAAAAUUAUAUCUCAUAUCUAAGAUCACGCUACCAAAUUAAACAAAAGAUCUUAUAUUUAUAUAUAUAAAAAAAAAAUUUAGGCAAAAGAUACGAUAUUCAUCUACAAAAUUUAAAAUAACGUGAUAAAAAAUACGAAGAGUUAUUAGACGGACUGAAACAAUAAUGUGACGAAGAACAUUAUUAUAUUUGAUACGUUAUGGGGAAAAAAAAGAAGAGAUGUUGUUGUCCACAAGUUGAUUCAGUGUUGAUGCGUAAGUCCACUUGUGUGGAUCAUAUUGAUUCAAAAUCCAAAAGCUUUUAUAUUUUCUAAUUUUGUCCUCAGAUUUUUCUGUCUGUUCUUUAUUGUUGCCUGUUGGUACGAUCGAGACCUUAGCCGUCCAAUCUUCCAAAAAGUAUGUGACCAUUAUUUUUUUUGCCAAUUUAUUAUUCAGAUUUUAUUUUUUAAAAUAUAGUAUGUCGGACAUAUUAUCACAUUUACGCAUGUAUAGGCGUAACUAGUCAUGGGCGUUCGGUUUAGUCGGGUUAUUCGAGUCGGGUUAUUCGGUUUGGGGAAAAUUCGGUUUUUAAAAAAUUCCACCGAAUUGGUUUCAAUUUCGGUUUACUUGUUAAAAAAAAGACAUUUGCAGUUGCACUAUUACAAAUCCAAUUAAAAAAACCAUUACAAAUUAGAUAAAAAGCCCAAUAUACAUUUAACAAAAACCCAACAUACAGUUUAUAGCCCAACCCAAUAAAAUAUUAGGGUUUUGACAAAAAUAAGUGUGGCUGCAUGAUCGACUGUGCGCGGCGGUCUCAGCGACGGUAAGCUCCGACUGUCUUAUUCUAGCUUUAAUCGAGGUUGUGUUGAACGAGGAUGAGUCUGUCUCUCGCAAUAUCACUGAAACAAGAAAGAAAACAACUAAAAUCAGUCGAAAUAAUCACGAAGUCUCGGAUCUAGAAAUCGAAAAAACGAGACUUACGAAAACAAUCAACUAACACCAAUACUUAGAUCCGAAAACGAACCUUAUGUCAGUAAGUUCAUCGACGGCGGAUUGGUUGAGGGAAAUUCUUGGUAGUAGUUAUCGUUGUUGAGUGCCUAUCAAAACUUAUGAUUUAGAAGAAACAAAGAGAAGAUGAGGAGAAAGACGAAAACGAAGAAGAUCAAGAUGCAGAAGAGUAUAUAGAAAAGAAGGAAGGAGAAGAAGAAAGAAGAACAAGAUCGUAAAAGGAGAGAGGAGAGUGGAAGGAGGCUCGCCAAAGAGAUUAGAUAGUAUUGAUGAAAUGAAUUAGGUUAGGGUUUUUAGUUUUUAUAUCUUGUUCCCCUAAACCAAAUAAACCGAUCGGUAACCGAUUACCGAACCGAGUAACCCGAAUUCCGAAAUCCCAAAAUAAUCUUACUGAUCGGUUUACUUCCCUUCUAAAAUUUGGUGCCGCAAACCGAAUAUCUCGGUUUGAUCGGUUCGGUUUGAUCGGAACUGACCGAACGCCCAGGCCUACGCGUAACUAUAACCCUGGCUAGCUUAUAAAAUAUUUUGAUCGAAGUUGAAGAAACUUACUUGGACGGUGAUAUCAUGAAUAUGAUGUCUUAUGAGUUAUGUCUAAAGCAAUUUGUUGGAGUCUAGACCAUUUGUGUUCGUAAAACUGUUUUCCAAGAAAAUGGAAAACCAUAAGCCAUAUUAUAGCAUGUAAUGUAACAAACUGUUUAUCAUAAAAGUAUAGAGUUUGAGUAUGUUGUUAAAUGUUAUAAGUCCCUUGUAAUAACUUAUUUGACAUUAACAAAAAUCUUAUGUUUUUCACUCUAUUCCAACUUCUCCAAACAUAUAUGUUCAUAAGCGAUUUAAACCACUGAAUUACUUCUAUCGAUUAGAUAAAGCUUAGAGCAAAAGAUGCAACAAGUGUAUGACGUUAAUGGCUUAAUACCUAUGCACCCACCCUACCUAAACUGUUGUUAGAACACUAGUUUUUAUUUUUUUCUUGGUUAUGUUUUUUACUCAAACUUACCUUUAAUUUGAAAGUUUUAAUUCUUGGAUAGUUUCGCUUUAAGGGUAUUCCAUCCGAAUAAAUCGAUCUGAUUCAAACCGAAAUACUCAAUCAGAAAACGUUCUAGUAGUUUCAUUUUUUUCUAUAUCCAAGGAACCGAAUCUAGAUCGUACCAGUAAAAAAUCGAUUUAGAACCGAAGUUUCUUUGUAAGUUAAGAAUAUAUUUGACUAAAACCAAGUUUCUUACCAAACCAUCCAUUUUAGUUUACAUGUUUAUUUUGAAACCAUUAUUCAUAAACCGAAGAUCUAGAAAACCGAACCGGAUUGGAAAAGCUCAACAGCCUCAACUUAAAGAACGAAUCUCGGUGCAGUCGGUCAAGUUAGUUGGGCUUUUCAAAGGUAAUUAAUAAAUCCAGGCUUAAUUAAUUAGUCUCAGUAGGUCCAAAUAAAUAAAUAACGUAACAUAAAAAAACUCAAUUACUGGAGCCCAUAUUUUAAGCCCAUUAACAAAAAAAAACCCACCAAAACCGACCUUUUGAAUAAACUUACCAGUCCGACGCAGCCAGCUCGGCCGGUGUCUGACGACUGACACUUUUCCACUAAAAGAAUCUCCCGAGAAACCUAACCGUUGACUCAGCCGAGAAACUAAGGCCAACAAAAAAUGAACCACACGAGUCGUAAGAGACGACCCGAUCUUUCUCUCUCCAGAACCGAUUAUCUCUCCUCUGAAAUGUUAGCUCCGACGAAAUCUCCGGCGCUAAAUCGAAUUCGAAUCCGAAACCUCUUCUUGCUUCUACUCUUCGUUUACGUCGUCAUCCUCCUCCUCUUCUCCUUCAGUCCUCUCCGCCGCGCGCAGUUUCCUUCACUCGCACGAUCAUUAGCUAUAUCUCCCACGCGCCGCCGUCACUUACUCUUCUCCAUAGCUUCCUCACACGAUUCUUGGCUCCGUCGUAGCUCCUAUGUUUGUCUCUGGUACUCUCCUAAAUCUACUCGAGCUUUUGUAUUCCUCGAUCGAGGUGGAUUUGAGUCUGAUCUCAGAAACUGGGUUUCAUCAGGUAAACAAAGUUUGAGCUCAUCAGAAACAUGAAUUGUUUCAAAAUUUAGAUUUCUUAGAAUCGAAAAGUAGUGUCAUUAGUUUAGCUCGAAGAAUGAAGCUGUAGAUUAAUUAGUGUUUGUUGUUUGAGUAGGACUACUGAAAAUAAUGAUUGCUAGUUAGCUUAGGCAUGACUUAACCAUCUUCGAAGUUAGACGUUAGAUGAAACUGAAAGUUGGAAAUUGGAAUCUUAAAUAUGUAAUUAUAGAAAGAGAAAAUUUACUAGAUUGAUCCGAAUUAUGAGUUUAAUUAUUAAAGUGUCUUAUAAAAUUUAGAGGUUAAAUGAGUUUUUUUUUUUUUUUUGACCAUAAUACCUUUUUUUCUCUUUCUUAGAAAUUAAAAAAAAAUCAAAAUUACCUUUAAAUAAAUUAUAAAAACGUGGGAAAAAAUAUUAGAAAAAAAAAUUAUUUGAAAAGUCUGUUGGAUAAGUUGUGACAGAUUUAAUUUAUAUGACAGACUUAUUUGUUUACGAUAGAUUUUUUGUGACAGAUUUUUUUUUUUCACAGACCUACUUGAAAUAGGUUACGACAGAUAUUUAAUUUAUAACAGAUUUUUUCUCCACGACAGACUUAUUUUAUGAUAACACCACAAAAUUUUGUAAUUUUGACAGAUUUAUGAAAAUAUAUGACAGAUUUAUUGUUUCAGUGGCGUCAGAUUUAUAUUUUUUUGAAAAAAAUCUGCCAUAAUGUAACAUAUUUGUUAAUGAAAAAAUAAUUACUAGUUUGACUUAUUAGUAAUAACAGAUUUAUUUUAUGUUAUGAUAAUUUUUUUUUUUGAACAAAAAUCUGGAAUGUGAUACUAGAUUUGUUAUUUAAAAAUAUAAAUUAGUACAAUGACAUAUACUCGCAACCGAAAUGUUUUAUGUUAUGACAGAUUUUUUUAAUAUCACGACGGAUUUCAGAUAGGUUAUAAAAAAUCUGUCGUAUUAUGACAGUUUUAUUGAUGAAGAUAGAAUUUUAAUCUGGAUAGUAAGGUAAUGACAGACAUAUUCUUACCGUGACAAACUUAUUUAUAUUAAAUGGCACAUGUGUGGCUGUCUCCUUGUUAAUAUAUGACUAAAUUUUUUUUUGUUUGUUUUAGAUAUAUAUACCUAUUUUUUUCAAUUUCUAUUUUUGUUUUCGUUUUGCAUUUUUAUUUCGUUUUAUAUAUUUUUUUAAUUUUUUUUUUGUUUUUUUUUUCUAUUUUUUGUUGUAUAUAAUUAUAAAAAAAUUUUAAUUUUAAUUUUUUCGUUUUCUAUUUUUUAAAAUUUUUUAUUUUUCGUUUUCUAUUUUGUUCUAGUUUUCUAUUUAAUUUAAUUAUUAUAUGUUAAUUUGUUUAUUUUAAUAGAAUUGAAAAUAAGAUGGGUAUUUGGUCUUUUAACACAAAAUUAUGUUAUUCUAGUAAACCACAAUAUUUGAGUGUUAAUCUAGUUAUUUUUUCCGAGAUUUGUGUCAAACUAGGUAAAUUUCGAAAAUAAUAUAUAUUUUUUUCAUUUCGGGUCAUCACCGUACAAAUCGUGUGAUUGUAAGAGUUUGAACUCAGUCAUACCUUUUACUUCUUCUUCGGCCCUCUUGUGGCCGCAAAUACCAACUUCUCUUUCAUCUCCGUUACAAACUCUAAACAUUUCUUCUAGAAACUGAAUUUAUCAAUAGACUUUCGUAUAUGGUAACCAAAACUGUAAACUACAUAUAUUUUAUAAAAACUUAUCUCCAUUCAAUAUCCAAAUCCCUUCCAACCUCACACAAAAAUCGAAAACAAUGUACUCUUCAUCGCCCGUAUCGACAUGCUUCUUUUUGAUCCCUAUCUUGGCCAUGGUGGCCACACAACUGGUCUUUAUGCGCACCGUUUCGUCUUUGAACAUGACCAAUGCCUAUUUGAACCACAAAUGCUUAGCCAAACAAGGAAGAUACAAGCCGGGAAGUUGGUAUGAGAAACAACUCCAAACUAUCAUAGUCUCUAUCGGAAGCGGUGAUGGUUUUACCCACGGUUACGACAUGAUGGGCCUUGGUGAUGAUUCUGAUUACGUCAGCGUCACCAACCAGUGCCGCGGGGACUCCUACGGGUCCAAGUGCCGCUCCUGCUUUGCCACCGCCAUCGCAGGGGUAACGCGAUUAGCUGUUACAUAUAUCAUAUAUCAUUUUUUGAUUAGCUGUUACAUAUAUCAUUAUUACAUGAAUAAAUUUAGGCGCACACACAUGUCAGUUUUGGUUACAUGUUAGCGAUAAAAUGUAUAAUAGAAAAGAGAUUUUAGCGAUAAAAUGUAUAAUAGACAAGAAAUUAUAUCUUAUAUGUAAAUUAGUCAAUGCAAUGUUGAUAUUGAUUUUGGCGUUAAUAUGACAAAAAUGUAUAUGACAGCUUCGUAGGAGAUGUCCGCGGUAUAAGGGGGCAAUAAUAUGGUAUGACCAAUGUACUGUCGAGAUUUCUUCGUUCGAUCCUCAAGGAAAGUUCGAUAAAGAUAACGAUUUCUGUAUGUCCAACGCGAAGAAAAUGAACGUAGAUUCGUUUGGAGAGAAGUGGAUGACUUUCCUCGACAAUUUGGUGGGUAUAGCCCUCAAAGAUUAUUUGUAUGCCGCGGGGGAUACAAGGUUCGGGACGAAGAAGUUGUACGGGAUGGUGCAGUGUAGGACUGACAUAUAUAAUAAUAGUUGUCGAAAGUGUGUUGGACACUUAGCCGUGAAAUUUCAAGAUUGCUGGCAUGGUAAACAAGGAGCUAGAGUUAUGGGUAGUGGUUGUAACUUUAGGUAUGAGCUUUACCCUUUUGUUAGUAGUGCCAAGCCUAAUUUGAAGUAAUUUUUAAUUCUUAUGCUUUUAGAUUUUUUUUCCGUAAACUUUAAAUUUUAUUUAUAUGAUUUUUUAUUUUGUUUGGAAAGAACAAUAUCAUGUAGUUUAAAUAAUUUUUAUGUUUGUUAUGUCAAAAAUAUUUUAAAUAAUGUAUUUUUGAACUUUACGUGUAAAAUUUAUUUUCUGUAAAUUUCUAAAACAUAUUUAUGAAAUUUAUAGAUACUAAUCAAGGAAAUCAUUUUAAAAAAGAGAGAAACAUUGCAUUAUUAUGUUUUAAAAACUAUACUUAAUCGUGGUAAGUUAGUUUAAAAUGAUUGAUAAUUUAAUAGGAUACAAUAAUCAGCAUUAAGAAACCCAUCAAAAUGGUAACCAUAAGAAAAAGAAGCUCACCAAAAUAACAUGAAAGUUCCUUAAAAAGUACAAAUAAGAUAAGAGAUACUAGAAGGUUGAGGAAUGUUCAUAUAUUUUAUAUGAAAACAUUUCCCACCAACUUGGAUUUCGACACGACGGAGAAAUAUGUCUAAAUGUUCACGUAAUUCAAUAUAAUCUAGUAAGUAUAAACUCAGUAUCUAGUAAAUAAUUCAACACAUGUUUAAGUUGCAACUCAGCAUCUCAUGAUCUUGCUUUAGAAUUGUAAAUAUCAAUAUUUGUUUGUUGUUGUUGUUGUUUUAAGAAAAUUAAAAAAAAAUCUAGAAACAUAGAAACGUAACACUAAUAAUAGACGAGAAGUGAUAUAUAUAUAUAUAUAUAUAUAGAACCUUAUAAUAUUUGACCAAGAAAAAAAAAACAAAGAAUCUUGUAAAUUGUAACUAUGGAAAUUAACAUUUCUUUCAUUAUCACCGUACAAAUCUUGUGAUUGCAAAAGUUUGAACUCAGUCACACCUUUGAGCUUUUACUUUUUCUUCGGCUUUCUUGUCGCCGCAAAUACUAAUUCCCCUCUCCUGUCCGUUACAAACUCUAUACUCUAUUAGAAACUUUAAUUAAUUGAAAGAAAAUUUUAUAAGGUAUCGAAAUCCCUCUUAGUCUCCUACAUAUACAUCACAGUCUCAACACUUUAUCCACCCACGUUUGGAAAACAUAAAAAUACAACAUCCAAAAACAAUGUACUUUUUAUACUCUAUAUCAAAACAUGUCUUGGCCCUGGUGGCCACACAAGUGCUCCUUAAUUAUACGCAGCGUUUCGUCUUUGAACAUGACCAAUUCGUAUCUAAACCACAAAUGCUUAGUCAGUCAAGGGAAAUACAAGCCAGGAAGUGUGCAUGAGAAAAGCCUAGAAGCUAUCAUCCAUUCCAUCUCGGUUGGUGAAAAUGUCAAUAGCGGUUACGACAUGAUGUCUUUUGGUGACGGUCCAGAUCUAGUCUGCGUUAUCCUCCAAUGCCGUGGUGACUCCUACGGGUCCAAGUGCCGCUCCUGCUUUGCCUCAGCCAUAGCCGGGGUAACGUCACUUCAAUAUUAUUUAUUAGCUGCCAAAUAUUUACAUGAUAAAUAUGUGUACACACAUGUCAGUUUUGGUUACAUCUUAGCGAUAUUAAAAUAUAUAACAGACUAGAAAACUAUACCUUAUAUGUAAAUUAGUCCAUGCAGUGUUGAUAUUGAUUGUGGCUUUGAUAUGCAAAAUGUAUAUGACAGCUUCGUAGGAGAUGUCCGAGAUAUAAAGGGGGAAUAAUAUGGUUCGACCAAUGUCUUCUCGAGAUUUCUUCGAUCGAUACUGUAGGGCAGCUCAAUUACGAUGACAGUUUUUGUAUGUCCAACGCAAAGAAUGUGGGAGAUAAUCCAUAUCUAUUCAUACUGAAGUGGGAUACUCUCUUCGACAAUAUAUCACGUAUAGCCAUCACUGAAAAGAAUUAAAAUUUUAAAGAUGCCAACAAACCGGCACUAUAUGGGGCGGGGGAGAAGAGGAUCGGGACAAAGAGGAAGAUGUAUGGAAUGGUUCAAUGUACGGAUGACUUAUCUGUUAAGGCUUGUCAAGAGUGUCUGGUUUCUAAUAUCUUGAAGUUUCAAGAUUGCUGGAAAAGUGGUACGUAAACGCGGUGCGAGAGUUUUGGGUAGGAGCUGUACAGCUAAUGAAACUUUAGGUAUGAACUUUACCCUUUUGUUAAUGCCAAAACCGGUCCUAAUUCUUAUUUGAAGAGUUAAUGAAAUUUUAAAAAAAAUACAGGUUUUAGAACUUUUUUUUUUUUUUUUUGUAAAUUAUCAAUUUUCGUUUACAUUAAUUAAUUAUUUUAUGUAGAAGAAAUCUUAUGAUGUAGUUAAAAUAAAGGGAAUUAUCCUUUUAUUGUAUUCCAUGAUAUUUUCAUGUUUUUAUUGCACUAAAUGACACUUUUUAAUAGUUAUACCGUUUGCCUUUGAUAAAAUACACAAUUUAUAUUGUACGUACUCCGAAUAAUUCUGAUAUAGAAAUUCUAAAACGUUGACAAGAAAAACCGAAAAAUUCUAAAACAUGUGGUGUAAGUACAUGUGAAAUUCUACAUAUCACUACGUACAUAUAUCACAUUAAAACUCUAAUACAUGUGAAUGAACGUAUUUUCAUAUAUAAUGUACGUAGAUCUAUCUGAAAUUCAAUUCUAAACCAUUCUGUUUCUGUAUAUCAAAACUAAAACGACAUAUAAGUACAUGACAAACACUAUUUUUCAUUAAGUGUAAUUGGGUCUUUGAACCCACCAAAGUAUCAUCGAGUGCAAUAAAAUACUCAUGGGUGUCAUGAGAUGUAAUUUACACUCUUCAUCAUCUUUGUAUAAUAUGCAACUAUGUUAACCAUUAUGGCCUCUAUUCUCCUGUUAUAGAGUUUUCCUCGUUAAGCUAUUUUAGUUCUCUCUCAAGAGCUAGCUUUGAAACAUUUUAGAUGAUCAAAUUUAUCAAAAAAGAAAUAAAAUUUAAAUUAAAGCAAUUUUCUUAUCUGGAGAGACACAAACUUAACACUCAUAGCAGUUAUUAAGUUAUACUCCUGUAUGCUAAUUAGAUGAAAGUGAAAAUAUAUUGGGAUCUGGUCAUGUUUGACCGAAACAAAAGAAUCUAAUAAUUAUAGAAGUUAACCAUUCCUUCAUUUCAGGUCGUCACUGUAUAAUCAUGUGGUUGUGAGAGAGUUUGAACUCAGUCACACCUUUGAAAUUUUACUUUUUCGUCAGCCCUUUUGUCACCGCAAAUACCAAUAAAAAUAACUUCUUUCAUCUCCGUUACAAACUCUCAACAUUUCUUCUAGAAACUGAAUUUAUCAAUAGACUUUCGUAUAAGGUAACAAAAAACUGUAAACUAUAUAUCACUUAUCUCCAUUUAAUAUCCAAAUUCCUCCAAGUUUCCUACAUCAAAAUCAAAGUCUCAACGGUUUAUCUAAAAAAUUAACACUUCCGUUUGGAAAAACAUAAAAAUAAAAAAUCCAAACAAUGUACUCUUCAUCCUCUAUAUCAAAAAGCCUCGUUUUAGUCCCUAUCUUGGUCGUGAUGGCAACACAACUUCUCCUUAUGCGCACCGUUUCUUCUUUGAACAUGACCAAUGCGUACCUGCACCACAAAUGCUUAGUUAGUCAAGGUAAAUAUAAGCCGGGAAGUUUGGACGAGAAAAACUUCAAUGCUAUCAUCAAAAGCUUGUCGAAUGAUACGGAUGCUUUUCGUGCGGGUUACAGCAAUGAUGGCCUUCGGUGAUGAACCUGAUAUGGUCUCCGUCACCUUCCUGUGCCGUGGCGACUCUUACGGACCCAAGUGCCGUUCCUGUUUUGCCACCGCCCAAUCUGAGGUAACGUCAACUGAAUAUUAUCAAUUAGCCGUCACGUAUGUGCAUGCAUAAAUAUCCCCACACACGUCAAAUGAUUGCAUCUUAAGAGAAACUAUAUCUUACAUUUAAAUUAGUCCAUGCAAUGUUGAUAUUGAUUGUGACGUUGAAAUGGAAAAUGUACAUGACAGCUUCGUAAGAGAUGUCCGAGAGACAAGGGGGGACUAAUAUGGUACGACCAUUGUCUUGUCGAGUUUUCUUCGUCCGAUACUACAGGGCAGAUCAAUUACGAUGAUGGUUUCUGUAUGCCCAGCGCGAAGAACGUUAGUGGUGAUCGGAUUUCUUUCGAAAAGUCGUUAUUGGUUCUCAUCAGCGAUUUGACACGUAUAGCCGUCACUAAAAACCAGAAGCCGGCGCUGUAUGCGGCUGGGGAGAAGAGGCUGGGGAAGAAGAAGUUGUACGUAAUGGUGCAGUGUAUGCUUGACUUAUCUGAUAAGGGUUGUGAGGAGUGUAUGUCACAUAAUGUCGUGCAUUAUCAAGAUUGCUAUAAACAAAAACAAGGAGCUAGAGUUUUAGGUAGGAGCUGUAACUUUAGGUUUGAGCUUUACCCUUUUGUUGACCAGAAGAGCAGUCCUAAAUAAUCAAAUUGUCAAGGAAUUUCAAUUAUUCUAUUGGUCCAGAUUUUUUUGUUAAAUUUGAAUUUUACUUUACAAAUAUUAAUUAUUUUAUUUAGAAAAAAUCAUAUGAUGUAGGUAAAAUAAAUUUAUAUUAGGCUUUAAAAAAAAUAUUCUAAACUAGUUUUUGAAUUUGUUGUGUAAUUGUUUCUUUUAAGCAAUUUGGUUGUAUAAAGAAAAUCAUAAAUUAAAUCGAUAAACAUUGCAUAAUAUGCUUGAAAAAUAGAACAUAUCUAUAUUUAAUCAUGGUAAUUAGUUGAAAUGAUUGAUAAUUAAUAAAAUAAACAGAAUUGAGAAAGUAAAGUGUACUCCUUUCAACAUUUUUUUUAACAAAUAAUAAAAUGAGGUCUUGAUCGCUCUCCCAAAAACAAUUCUUUUUGUUUGACAUCCUCAAAAACCAAUUUUUUUGAAAAAAAAAACAAUUUUUUUCAACUUUUGGAUCAGAAAGUAUUCGGGAGGACAAACUCAUUUUUUCCUUCCAUAGAGCAUCCUAACUAUGCACUACUUCAAUGUAUCGUCAUCUUCCUUUGUAAGAGGCAGCCGGAGAAGCAUAGCUAUACCAAAUGUCAUAAGUAUUAUUCCCUCGAUGAAAGAGUCACCUACCCUAAGCUCUAUUAUGAACUCCGAGCAUCCAACAUUCCAUAAAUGAACAAAUUCAACUGUUUAGAGGAUCUCGAAAAUCCAGUGCAAGUAACAGGAUAUUUAAAUGAGAAAAAGAUAAUCAGCUAUACGACGUAUAACACAUAACUUUAAAUUGUUAUAAAAGUUAAAUUUUCGGUGGGUUUGAUCAUUUUUGUAUAAUAUGCAACUAUGUUUCACAAUUAUGGUCUCUCUUAUCUUGUUGUAGAGUUUUCCUCGUUAAGCUGUUUGAGACUUUUAGUUCUAUCUCAGGAACUAGCUUUUAAACAUUAUAAAUUAAAGCAAUUUUCUUUAAUAAAUAUGUUAUAUAGAAACACACAAACUUGAUUAAAUAGCAUAUAUAUACAUAUAUAAUUUGAUGAAAUCUGAAAAUUGGGAUUGAUCAUGUUAGACAAAAAAGAAGAAAGAAUCUUGUAAUUAUAGAAAGCAACGAUUUCCCCCAGAAUUGGCUUAUAUAAGCUAAUCUAAUAAAAUUGUUGACAAAAAAAAAAAAAAAAAUCAAUGAUUCCUUCAUUUCAGGUCGUCAUCGUACAAUCGUGUGAUUGUAAUUGUUUGAACUCAGUCACACCUUGGAGCUUUUACUUUUUCGUUGGCCCUUUUGUUGCCACAAAGUUCCUCCCGAGUCUCCUACACAAAAAUCACAGUUUCAACGCUAAAAAGCUAUAUAAAAAAUUCCCUCUUGAAAAAAAAAAAAAAAACCAAAAUAAAUCCAAAACAAUGUAUUCUUUAUCCUCUGAAUCAAAACGCUUCAUUCUAGUCCCUAUCUUGGUCGUGGUGGCCGCACAACUCCUUCUCGUACACAGCGUUUCUUCACUAAACCUUACCAAUUCGUAUCUCCAGCACAAAUGCUUAGUCAAUCAAGGGAAAUACAAGCCGGGAAGCCAGCACGAGAAAGCCCUCAAUGAUAUCAUACAAAGCUUUUCAAAAGAUUCGGAAGGUUUUCAUACCGGUUUCAGCAUGGAGGCCUAUGGUAAAGAGCCUGAUAUAGUCGCCAUCACCUACCAGUGUCGUAUCGAUUCUCGCGGGCCCAAGUGCCACUCCUGCGUUGUCACCGCCGGUUCUGAGGUGACAUAUUUGAGUAUUACUAAUAGUAAAGUAGUCGAUUUACUAUUCAAAAUUAGCAAAAUACCUAGUUUUUACUAUCAUACACUAUUUUGAUAAUUUUCAAGUCCUCAAUCAAAUGAUUUAAUGUGAUUUGUACAUCAAAUUUAGUGUACAUAUGCACAUCUACAUAUACAUUUUUACAGGGGUUUUUUGCAUUAAUUCAUUUGGAUCCGGGUUUUACCCGGGUUUAACUCUAUUCGGAUCUUGGAUAAGCAAUUUUAAGAAUGUUGUAAUAAAAACAAACGAAUAUUUUGACUAUAACUACUCUAACAAUUCGGUUUAAUGAUAUUCCCUAAAUUAUUUGCCACAUUAAUCGGCAACAAUCCUUAUAAUAUCUAAUUGUUACGAAUAUUUGCACAAUCUAAACUAAUUACUCAUUUACUCUAUAUAUAUAUCCGAGAUUAUUGGUAUUUCCUUAUCUAUAAUUCAUAUAAUCUAAAAAUAUAUAUAUUUGAUCUCAAUUAAUAUCUUCUGACUCAACUAAUUAUUACUAUCAAAUUCUUAAUCAAUGGCAUAUUCCUUGCAUCUAUAAUAAAUCCGGGAUUUUAUUCUAUAUAUGCUAUUGUUACAGAGAUAUUAUACUUCUUGUGCAAGAUUUCCGUCACUAAUUAACACAUAUGGAAAUCUACAUCUUAAACCACUAUAAAUAGAGUUAUCAUCUACGUCUUCUACGGUUAUAUCAGAUCCCAAAACAACUUUAAAAUUUCAUUUUUUCAGUUAUACAAUAUCAGAUCCGCACGUAUGUGCUGGUGAUAGGUCACCGUGUUCUUCACGGCGUUCUGGAGAAUGUUUUAGUUACUCCAGCUUCAGGAAACGCGUUAUCGACGGCGCGUCAUCGGCGUAACGUCGGAUCAACCGGAAGCCACCGUGUCUUCUCCCUAAGCAAACUAGAGUUAUGUUGUUUUCCCUGUCAGACAAAUCCUGUUGUUAAAUUUCACAUAAUUUGUUGAAUAAUUACUGGACGCUUAGGUUUUAAAUGUUUUUUUUUUCUUGGCAGAGACUUAAGGUUUAUGUGUGUCUUCCAGGUUAAAUUAUGGUGGAUAACUCAGAAUGGGUACUAAUGGGAAAGUGAUUCCUUGCGAGACUCAGUUUCUAAUCGUAGAGGCAAACCAAGGAUCUGAUUUAUGAGGAGGAGAUCAAUCUUCUUCGUACGUUGUAUUCUUGCCUAUACUUGAAGGAGAUUUUAGAGCUGUUCUUCAAGGGAACGAGGCUAAUGAGCUAGGGAUUUGUCUUGAAAGCUGUAAAUAUAUAUAAUCCACUAAUUAGUUUAAAAUUUUUGUUAGAUUAUCUCUGAGAUUUAUGGUUUGUAUGGUCAAGGUGAUCCAACUGUUGACCAAUUCGAGGGGAGUCAUUUGGUUUUUGUGGCUGUUGGCUCCGACCCUUUUGAUGUCAUUACCAAAGCUGUCAAGUAUGUGACGUUUCUUAACUCAAACUUAUUAUUGAUUUUGUUCUUUAUAUCCCAAGUGUUAAGAAUCUUUGUCCCAGGGCUGUUGAACAACAUCUUCAGACAUUUUCACACCGAGAGAGAAAGAAAGUAAGGAAACUCUGAGAACGUUUUAUGUGAUCUUUGAUUAUAUAUACAUACAAAAAAUGAACUCUGAAAUUUCCGUGUUUUGGUUUUGUACAGAUGCCAGAUAUUUUGAAGCUUUUCUAGCUAUCAAUCCUUUUUCCUCAUGACAACAUAAUUAUCUCUCUUUUUUUGAAACAAUAUAAAUGGUAAUGAUUACGUUUUUGUUUAUGUUUAUAUGAACUUUCAUGUUUUAUUAUUCUUAACUAUACUAAAUAUUUGAUGUCUUGUGCAGAUGAUUUGGUUAUGAUUUGGGUUUCAGGAAAGGUCAAGAGUAAUGUUGAGGUUUGUAGAUUUGGUUGAGAAACACAGCGAAGAACUCGCGUCUCUAGAGACUUGGGACAAUGGCAAGCCUUACCAACAAUCCAAGACCGUAGAGAUUCCAAUGUUUGCAAGAUUGUUCCGUUACUAUGCUGGUAUCAUAAAACGAACUUAAAUCUUGAGAAUUCUGGUGAAAUUUUCUUGCUUUUGUGUUAAUUUCUGUGAAUGAAUAUUCUUGGUUUUGCUUUGAUGUGUAGGAUGGGCGGAUAAGAUUCAUGGACUAACAGUUCCAGUUGAUGGAAACUAUCAUGUUCAAACAUUGCAUGAACCCAUAGGUGUAGCUGGACAGAUCAUUCCUGGGAAUUUUCCGCUUUUGAUGUUUGCUUGGAAAGUUGGUCCUACUCUUGCUUGUGGUAACACCACUGUCCUUAAAACCGCUGAGCAAACACCUCUCACGGCUUUCUAUGCUGGCAAGCUUUUACUUGAAGUAAGAUACAUGCGAUAAAUUAUCUUAUUUUCUUCUCUAGGAAAAGAAAACUUUUAUGAGUAACAAUGUUUCUUGUGAAAUUUAUGAUAGGCUGGUCUUCCUCCUGGAGUUCUGAAUAUAGUUUCUGGAUUCGGUGCAACAGAAGGGAUGCCCUCGCGAGUCACAUGGAUGUAGACAAGGUAGAGAUAUUUGUUUACUUGGUUUUAACUUCUUUAAGAAACUAUAUUAUCUUACAUUGUUCUUUUUUGAUUCAGCUUGCUUUUACAGGAUCGACUGAUACAGUCAAAGUUAUACUUGGAUUGGCUGCCAACAGCAAUCUUAAGCCGGUAACUCUGGAACUUGGAGGGAAAUCACCAUUCAUCGUAUUCGAAGAUGCUGAUAUUGAUAAGGCCGUAUUGCACACUUUGCCCUCUUCUUCAACCAUGUAUUGUCAAUAGUAGAAUAUAUACCUUGAGCUAAGCUGACUCAUUUUCUUAGCUGGUUCUGGAGAUAGUGUUGAGUAAUGUUUUUGUAGGGACAAUGUUGCUGCGCGGGGUCUCGGACAUUUGUUCAUGAGAAAGUGUAUGAUGAGUUUGUUGAGAAAUCAAAGGCACGGGCAUUGAAACGUAUUUACAACGUUUUUAUGAUAGUUUGUAAUUAAGUCUCUUAAAUAAAGUAUUGAUGAGCUAUGAUAGUUUUUUUUUUCAUAUUUUGAACAUUAACAAAUUUUCUAAUUUGAUUAAGCUAAUGUUGAUUAGUGAGUGUUACCAAUCGAAGUUGCAUUUGUGCUACGUUGGUUGCUGGAACGACGAUGAUUCGAGACAAUUAGAUCUUAUAAGUGAUGGUAAAGCUAAGUUGGUUUUUGUAAGUGAUAUUAGAGAGAGAAUGGACGAGAUUCUGCAAGUCAUCGGGAUAUAAACCAAUCUCAUCAAGUAAAACAUGGUAGUGAGCUGGUCUUGAAGUUCCCUAAGUCAUUAUCGAGAGAAACAUUAUGUAGAGUUGAGUGUAAUAAAAGUGUGAGGAGUGAAGCUUUCUGAAAAAUAAAUUCAGUUUUUUUUUGUCUAAACUUACUGUUAUUCCUGCAUUAGCACACAUAAUUUAUAAGAUUUUUAAACUUUAUACUACGGGUGAAAUCCUAGAAUUGACGGGUUUGGUUCGAUAAUAAUACGAGACAGUAUACUAUGGGUGAAAUCCUAAAAUUAACAAUAAGAAUAUAAUUGUACAAUCUUAAACACUAAACAAAACAAAAAAUAUUAACAAAACAAAUACAACUUAAAAUUUAAUAUUUGUUUAAACGCAUCUUGAUUCUUUUAUAAGAAGUUUACACAUUAUAAAUAUUUAAACUUUAUACUAUGGGUGAAAUCUUAGAAUUGACGGCAUUGGAUCGAUAUUAAUACAGGAUGAUAUACUACGGGUGAAAUCCUAGAAUUAACAAUCAAAAUACAAUUAUACAAUCUGAAACACUAAACAAAAUAAACAAUAUUAACAAAACAAAUACAACUUAAAAUUUCAAAAUUUUAGUUAUAAAAUAUCGUUUGUGGUGUAUUAUACAUUUAAAUUAAACAAAACAAUAGCAUAUAUUUAUAGAUCAUCCUAAAAAAAAUAUUUGUUUAAGAAAAAUAUAGGCCCGCGGUAAAUAUAUACAUUUAAAUUAAUAAAAAAAUUCAUAUAUGUCAAAUAAAAUAUUUAAAUUAAUAAUUCAAAAAACAUCAAAUAAUAUUUAGUCCCGCGGUGUACCGUGUGUUAACAUCUAGUAAAUAUACACAAUUUUAUUCUUACACUCAUUUAAUGUACAUUAAAUAAGCUGUACAGAUAAAAAUGUGUAUAUUUCUAUAUUUGAUAUCUCUAUACUAUUAAAAGAGAAAUACAAAUGAAAAUGGGUCGGGUUAAAAUCAGAAAAUUGACCCGAAAUUCUGAAAUCGGAUCUUUGAAAUUUUUUUGGAAUAUAAAUUCGAAUUAAUAAUGAAAAAUCGAAAUAAAAUCAAAUAUUUAUGUAAAUCAAAUAGAAUCUGAUUGUACUUAUGGUAACUAAUAAUAAAAACAUAUUCCAAACAAUAUUAUACAUUAAUUACGUAUACUAAAUUUGUUCAUAUAUUUUUGGGACUAAUUUCAUAACAAUCAACGUUUUUGUCAUUAAUUUCGCUCAUUUUAGCCAAUUAUCAUUAAUUGAAAGAUAUUUUACUUGCUUCUAAAGAUUUCUAGAAAAUUUAUCAUAAAUAACCCAUCUGUUUUAUAAAUUAAAUUAAUAUUUUUCUUUUUGUAGUGUAAAUUAAAUAGAUAUUUUUAUUUUGGUUGUGUAAAUUAAAUAAAUAUGAAAUCCAUGUAACUAAUUUUAAUUUAAUUAGAUUAAAUCGAAAUUAUGAUAUUUUCAUACCUAUAGCUUACCAAAGAAGUUUAAUUUUCAAUUUAUAAAGAUUUCUUGAAUAUGAUUUUAGAAUUAUUCAACAAGAUGAUAAGUAUUUAUUAAAUUUUGUGAAUCAUGAAAAAUAAUAAUUAAUUUUUAAUCAUUAUACUUCAUCUUUCAAUCUCUCAUCUAACAAAUAAGAUACAUAUUCUAUUAUUACUAUGUCUAAACUUCAUUUUGUUGUAUGACUAAAUAAUAUUCUCAUUAGAACUGUCAAAGCGAGUUGAUUCGUCCCGUUAAGUCUAUUUUGCGAUAGACAAAAAAUAUUUUGACUUGUAGUUGGUCGGUCCGCACGACCCGUGGGGAGCAUAUAAGAAAUACAAACCCGUCCCGCGAAUGUAUGCGGAUUUGCGGGAUUGUCCAUGGAUUUUGUUUAAAUAAUUUUAAAGUAACCAAAAUUUAAAAUACUACUAAAAUAAAUAAAUAAAUCAAAAUACUAUUAAAAGUUUGUUUAAAUUACCACAUGUUGAAUAAAUUAUAAUUUUAUCAAUAAAUACUAAUAUGCGGGCUGAUCCGCCAACCCGCGGAUGAAAACCGAUUAAACCUAUGACCCACUGCGAAUUAAUCCAUGUGGCUCGCUUAUUUGCGGGUUUAAUAUAUUUUCCCAAAUCUGCCCCAUAGUGAGAUGAUGUGGGCUGGACCCGCGGUUUUUGACCUAUUUUGACUGCUCUAAUUCCCAUGAAUCGUCUAAUUUUAGAAUUUUAAAACACAAAAUUCUAUUUUGUAAAUCAUAAUUAUUACGAUGGAUAUAUUUAUAAACAAUUUUAUAUUUUCUCUACAAUUCGUUAUUAUGAAUAUUUAUAAGUAUACUACACGAUUCGUUCUACUAAAAAACACACACAAUAUUAAACAUAACAUAUGUAAACCAAUAUUCUCCCGCGGUGGACCGCGGGUCCGAUCCUAGUAAAUAUGUACAUUUAUAAGCUGUACAGAUAAAAAUGUGUAAAUCUCUAUACAUUUGUACACUUAAUUAAUUUUACAGAUAAAAAUGUGUGUGUAAUAUAUUUGAAAUCAUCAAACAAAAUGUAUACCAAAUUAUAGAGAAAAAAAGAUUUUUAUGUACCUCAAAGUUUUUAGAAAAUAAAUUUACAAUGAUGUGUAUUUUAAUUAUUAGAUUUGAGGGAGAGUGUAAAAAGAAAGAAAAAUUAAAUUUUAAAGCCGACAAGAUUUUUCUUCUAUUAUACCGAAAGAUUUAUUAAAAAGAACAAUGAAAGGUGAUGAUUUCUCAUAAUUUGCAAUUAAUAAUAAAUCUAGACGACAAAAAAAAAAAAGAAAGGUGAUGAUUUUCCUAAUUUUAAAUAGUAAAGUGGCUACUUUCCAUAUUAAGUCUUCAAAACGGACUAUUUUUCCUACUCACCCUUACUAAUAAGCUAGCUUUUACAUAAUGUAUAAACAUGCGUGCAGAGACUAUAUAUCUUAUACUAUGUAAAGUAGUCCAUGCAAUGUUGAUAUGGAUUGUGGCGUUGAUCUGAAAAAUGUCUAUGACAGCUUCUUCGUAAGAGAUGUCCGAGAGAUAAAGGGGCAAUAAUAUGGUACGACCAAUGUCUUGUGGACUUUUCUUCGUUAGAUACUUUUGGGCAGAUCAAUUACGACGACAACUUCUGUAUGCCCAGCACGAAAAACCUGAUCGGCGAUUCGAUUUCUUUUGAAGAAAGGUUGCGUCUCCUCGACAAUCUGACAGAGAUGGCCGUCACGAAAAUAGAUAGAAACAUAAAAGGUAUAAAAAAAGCAGUACUGUAUGCGGCGGGGGAGAGGAGACUCGGGAAGAAUAAUCUGUACGGAAUGGUGCAGUGCUCUGGUGACUUAUCUGUUCAGGGUUGUAAUGAGUGUAUGACAUAUUAUACAGUGCAUUUUCAAAAUUGCUGGAAAAGCAAACAAGGAGUACGAGUUUUGAGUAGAAGCUGUAACUUUAGGUAUGAGCUUUACCCUUUUAUCAACCCCAAGGGUCCUUACUAUACCAAGUUCUAAAGCAAUUUGACUAUGUUGCUUUUAGAAUAUUUUUCUUUUCUUUUAACUUCAAAUUUCCCGUUAUUUAAGGUGAAUUGUUUUUCUAUUAUUUAGUAAAAUAUAUAUGAUGUAGUUGAAGUAAAUUUCUAUCAGUUAAGUAAACGAUUCUAUAUAAUUAAUUUUUGAAUUUUCAUUCUUUAUCUUUAGAAAUUGUUGACUAGGGUGAUUAAUGGUUAGAUAGACUUGUUAUUGAUGCUUAUUGAUCAUUUGAUUGCCUUUAGAAAUUGUUGAUGUUAAGUAAAGGGAUUAAUAUCAUGGAAAUGAAUUAGUCUUGUUUGGUGAUCUAUUACCUAAGGAUCACACUUGUUAGGAGUUGUAUUAAGCUCCAUAAAUCAUGUCUUGAUCAUCUUUAUCGAAUACCUUAACCCGGGAUUUCGUCUUUUAUUAUCAAACCACUUUGUUUGAUUUUGAAUUGUGUUAGUCUUUUGCAUAUUGUUUUCUUUUGCUUUAAUUUGUAUUAUUUGAUUUUAAUUGCUUGGUUUAGUUAAGUUUGUAUUAGAAAACCAAAAUCAAACUCUUGUUAAGCUUAAAUUUAAGUAAACUUCUGUAUUCUUGAUGAAUUAAUUAAUUGCUCUAUGUGGUUCGACCCUAAGUACUUUAAUGAUGGGAUCAUUAGUGCAUUAGGAAUUUAAUUGACUAAAACACUAUAUCAGAGAACAAACUCAUUUUUUUCCUUCCAGAGACCAUCCUAACUAUGCUACCUUUGUAAGGAGCGGUGGGAGAAGCAAAGCUGUACCAAAUGUCAUAAUUAGGAGUCUGAUUCGAUUAUUCCCUUAAUGAAAGAGUCAACUAGUUGAUGCUCUACUGUUAACUACGAGCAUCCAACAUUCCCUAUAAAUGAACAAAUUCAACUGUUUAUAGGAUCUCGAAAAUCCGAUCCGAGUAAGCGAAUAUUUAAAUGGGAAAACUAUAGCCAACUAUACGAUGUAAAUCACAUAAAUUUUGAAAUUCUUAUAAAAUUUAAAUUUUCUAUGGGAUUGGCCAUUUUUAUAUAAUAUGCAACUAUGAUCAACCAUUGUGGCCUCUCUUCUUCUGUUUGUAGAGUUUUCCUCGUUAAGCCGAUUUAGACUUUUAGUUCUAUCGCAGGAUCUAGCUUGUAAGCAUUUUAAAUUAAAGCAAUUUUCUUUAGUAAUAUAGUAUAUAGAAACACACAAACAUGCUAAAUAUACUAUUAGAUGAAAUCUGAAAAUUGGAAUCGACCAUGUUAGAAAAAAACCAAGAAUCUUGUAAUUAUAGAAAUCAACAAUUCCUUCAUUUCAGGUCGUCAUUGUACAAUCGUGUGAUUGUAAUUGUUUGAACUCAGUCACACCUAGGAGCUUUUACUUUUUCGUCGGCCUUCUUGUUGCCACAAAGUUCCUCCCGAGUCUCCUACAUAACAUCAGUCUCAACGCUAAAAAUCUAUAUAAAAACACCCCUCUUGGAAACAAAAAUAGAAAAUAAAUCCAAAACAAUGUAUUCUUCAUCAUCUGUAUCAAAAGGCUUCGUUCUAUACGCUAUCGUGGUCGUGGUGACCACGCAACUCAUGCUCGUACGCAGCGUUUCUUCACUAAACCUUACCAAUUCGUAUCUCCAGCACAAAUGCUUAGUCAGUCUAGGGAAAUACAAGCCGGGAAGCGACUACGAGAAAUCCCUCGAUGAUAUCAUCCAAAGCUUUUCGAAUGAAGAUAAAAAUUCGUAUGGUUACCGUGCCGGUUUCAGCAUGUCAGCCUACGGUAAAGAACCUGAUAUGGUCGCCAUCACCUACCAGUGCCGUAUCGACUCUCGCGGGCCCAAGUGCCAAUCCUGCGUUGUCACCGCCGGUUAUGAGGUAACAUACUUGAGUAUUACUUAUAUAGAUAUGCGUGACAUGCAGGCCCGGCCCUAUGGUAAAGCAGAUGAAGCAUUGGCUUUAGGCCACAUUAUAUUUAAACAAUUAUAAGGCCACAUUUAACUAAAAUGGUCGUGCACUUAGGUAAUAGUCACCAGCCAAGUUCUCGAAACAUAUUAGUUAGACAGGUCUUUUUUUUUGUUUUUGGACAAAUUGAUUUUUUUGGACAAAGUUAGACAGCUCAUUUUCUGUCUUUACAUCACUUUACUUUGUUUAUAUUACAUAUGUGUCCCUUAUUAUUAUUUCUUCUACAAUAACUUUCUUUUUUCUAACUCCUAACAUUCUAAAUUUAUUGCUAUCAAAAAAAAAAUAAUUCUAAAUUUCUUAAAUAUAUUCUCAAAAACCUAUAAUAAUAUUACAAANNNNNNNNNNNNNNNNNNNNNNNNNNNNNNNNNNNNNNNNNNNNNNNNNNNNNNNNNNNNNNNNNNNNNNNNNNNNNNNNNNNNNNNNNNNNNNNNNNNNNNNNNNNUUUGUUAAAAUAUAGUAUUUGAACAUAUUCUCUGAAAAAAAAAAUUUAAAGCUUAUUUUUUUCAAAAAAAUUCAUUUUACUUUGUAUACAAUGUAACUAAUAUUAAAAAUAUAUAAAGUUAAAUAUAAAUAAAUUUGGUACCUUAAAUAUUAAGGCCACAUUUUUUAAAAUAACCCUGGUGACAUGUCAUUAUGCUUAGAUCUAAAAGAUAAAUAUUUACAAGAGAUACUACAUCUUAUAUGUAAAUUAGUCCAUUCAAUGUUGAUAUUGAUUGUUCGCCUGUGGCGUUAAUAUGCAAAAUGUUUAUGAUAGCUUCUUCGUAAGAGAUGUCCGAGAGAUAAAGGGGCAAUAAUAUGGUACGACCAAUGUCUUGUGGAGUUUUCUUCGUCAGAUACUUCUGGGCAGAUUAAUUACGACGACAACUUCUGUAUGCCCAGCGCGAAGAACCUGAUCGGCAAUUCAAUUCCUUUAGAAGAAAGGUUGCAUCUCCUCAACAAUCUGACAAAGAUGGCCGUCACUAAAAUAGAUAAAAACAUAGAAGGUAUAAAAAAACCGGUACUGUAUGCGGCGGGGGAGAAGAGACUGGGGACGAAGAAUCUAUACGGAAUGGUGCAGUGUUCGGCUGACUUAUCUGUUCAAGGUUGUAAUGAGUGUAUGCUAUAUUAUAUAGUGCAUUUUCAAAAAUGCUGGAAAAGUAAACAAGGAGUAAGAGUUUUGAGUAGAAACUGUAACUUUAGGUAUGAGCUUUACCCUUUUAUUAACCCGAAGGGUCCUUACUACACCAAGUUCUAGAGCAAUUUGAACAUGUUGCUUUUAGAAUAUAUUUUUUCUUUUCUUUUUAGCUUCAAAUUUCCCCUUAUUUAACGUGAUUUUUUUCUUUCUAUUAUUUAGUAAAAUAUCAUAUGAUGUAGUUGAAGUAAAUUUCUUUAAGUAAACGAUUCUAUAUAAUUAAUUUUUGAAUUUUCAUUCUUUAACUUUGGAAAUUGUUGACUAGGGUGAUUAAUGGCUAGAUAGAUUUGUUAUUAAUGCUUAUUGAUCAUUUGAUUUCCUUUGAAAAUUGUUGAUGAUUAGUAAAGUGAUUAAUAUCAUGCAAAUGAAUGAGUCUUGUUUGGUGAUCUAUAACCGAAGGAUCAGUUGUUAGGAGUUGUAUUAAGCUCCAUAAAUCAUGUCUUGAUCAUCUUUAUCGAAUACCUUAACCCGGGAAUUCGCCUUUUAUCUAUUUUCAAACCGCUUUGUUUGAUUUUGAAUUGUGUUAGUCUUUUGAAUAUUGUUGUCUUUUGCUUUGAUUUGUAUUAUUUGAUUAUAAUUACUUUGUUUAGUUAAGUUUGUAUUUGAAAACCAAAAUCAAACUCUUGUUAAGCUUAGAUUAAGUGAACUUGUGUAUUCUUGAUGAUGAGUUAAUUGAUUGCUCUUUGUGGUUUGAUCCUAAGUACUUUAACCAUGGGAUUAUUAGUGCAUUAGGAAUUUAAUUGACUAAAACACUAUAUCAGAGAACAAACUCAUAUUUCCUUCCAGAGACCGUCCCAACUAUGCUACUUUAACGUACCAUCUUCGUUUGUAAGAGGCGGGGGGAGAAGCAAAGGUAAUUCGAUUAUUCCCUUAAUGAAAGAGUCACCUACUUGAUGCUCUACAGUUCUACGAGCAUAUCCGACAUUCCCUAAAUGAACAAAUUUAACUGUUUAGAGGAUCUCGAAAAUCCGAUCCGAGUAACCGAAUAUUCAAAUGUGAAAAAGAUAGCCAACUAUAUGAUGUAUAUCACAUAAAUUUUGAAAUUCUUAUAAAAGUUAAAUUUUCUAUGGGUUUGGCCAUUUUUGUAUAAUAUGCAACUAUGUUCAACCAUAACUGCCUCUCUUCUCUUGUUUGUAGAGUUUUCCUCGUUAAUCUGUUUUAGACUUUCUAUCUCAGGAUCUAGCUUUUAAGCAUUUUAAAUUAAGCAAUUUUCUUUGAUACAUAUAUUAUAUAGAAACACAAAAACAUGAUAAAUUAGCAAAUAUAUACUAUUAGAUGAAAUCUGAAUAUUGGAAUCGACCAUGUUGGACAAAAAAACAAAAAAUCUUGUAAUUAUAGAAAUCAACAAUUCCUUCAUUUCAGGUCGUCAUCGUAGAAUCGUGUGAUUGUAAUUGUUUGAACUCAGUCACACCUUGGAGCUUUUACUUUUUCGUCGGCCUUCUUGUUGCCACAAAGUUCUUCCCGAGUCUCCUACAUAAACAUCAGUCUCAACGCUAAAAAUCUAUACAAAACCACCCCUCUUGGAAACAAAAAUAGAAAAUCAAUCCAAAACAAUGUAUUCGUCAUCAUCUAUAUCAAAACGCUUUGUUCUUUACCUUACCGUCGUCGUGGUGACCACACAACUCCUCCUUGUACACAGCGUUUCUUCACUCAACCUUACCAAUUCGUAUCUCCACCACAAAUGCUUAGUCAGUCUAGGGAAAUACAAGCCGGGAAGCGAGUACGAGAAAUCCCUCGAUGAUAUCAUCCAAAGCUUUUCAAAUAAAGAUAAAAAUUCGUAUGGGUUUCGUACUGGUUUCAGCAUGAAGGCCUACGGUAAAGAACCUGAUAUGGUCGCCAUCACUUACCAGUGCCGUGUCGACUCUCGCGGGCCCAAGUGCCAGUCCUGCGUUGUCACCGCCGGUUAUGAGGUAACAUACUUGAGUAUUACUAAUAAGCAAGCUUUCACAUAAUGUAUAAAUAUGCGUGACAUGUCAUUUAUGCUUAGAUCUAAAAGAUAAAUAUAAACAAGAGAAACUAUAUCUUAUAUGUAAAUUAUUCCAUGCAAUGUUGAUAUUGAUAGUGGGCCUGUGGCUUUAACAUGCAAAAUGUUUACGGCAGCUUCUUCGUAAGAGAUGUCCGAGAAUUUAAUUAGAUUAAAUCGAAAUUAUGAUAUUUUCAUACCUAUAGCUUACCAAAGAAGUUUAAUUUUCAAUUUAUAAAGAUUUCUUGAAUAUGAUUUUAGAAUUAUUCAACAAGAUGAUAAGUAUUUAUUAAAUUUUGUGAAUCAUGAAAAAUAAUAAUUAAUUUUUAAUCAUUAUACUUCAUCUUUCAAUCUCUAAUCUAACAAAUAAGAUACAUAUUCUAUUAUUACUAUGUCCAAACUUCAUUUUGUUGUAUGACUAAAUAAUAUUCCCAUUAGAACUGUCAAAGCGAGUUGAUUCGUCCCGUUAAAUCCGUUUUGUGAUAGACAAAAAAUAUUUUGACUUGUAGUUAGUCGGUCAGCACGACCCGCGGAUAGCAUAUAUGAAAUACAAACCCGUCCCGCGAAUGUAUGCGGAUUUGCGGGAUUGUCCAUGGAUUUUGUUUAAAUAAUUUUAAAGUAACCAAAAUUUAAAAUACUACUAAAAUAAAUAAAUAAAUCAAAAUACUAUUAAAAGUUUGUUUAAAUUACCACAUGUUGAAUAAAUUAUAAUUUUAUCAAUAAAUACUAAUAUGCGGGCUGAUCCGCCAACCCGCGGAUGAAAACCGAUUAAACCUAUGACCCACUGCGAAUUAAUCCAUGUGGCCCGCUUAUUUGCGGGUUUAAUAUAUUUUCCCAAAUCUGCCCCAUAGUGAGAUGAUGUGGGCUCGACCCGCGGUUUUUGACCUAUUUUGACUGCUCUAAUUCCCAUGAAUCGUCUAAUUUUAGAAUUUUAAAACACAAAAUUCUAUUUUGUAAAUCAUAAUUAAUACGAUGGGUAUAUUUAUAAACAAUUUUACAUUUUCUCUACAAUUCGUUAUUAUGAAUAUUUAUAAGUAUACUACACGAUUCGUUCUACUAAAAAACACACACAAUAUUAAACGUAACGUAUGUAAACCAAUAUUCUUCCGCGGUGGACCGUGGGUCCGAUCCUAGUUUAAAAAAGAAAAGAAUUAAACUACUAUUUUAUGGUUUUGCUCCUUGUAAUUCCUAAACCUUCAUUUCAAUAAUAUUUAUAAACUCAACGAAAAAAAUAAAUAAUAAUAAUUAAACUACUCACACAAUAUAAGGAGGUGGUUGACAUUGUUAUGAAGUCAUUGAAAUUAAGGAGAUUUAGUUUUGACGUUUAAGAGAUACAUCUACACUCCUUGCACUCUCCAGGUUUGUAUAUGAUCAUUUGCAAGUUAUUCUUUUUCUUUUUUUUUGAUAAAAUUUGCAAGUUAUUCUAGAGUUAUAAAUAUACAGCAGUAAGUUAUUCUAGAUGUAUAUUAUUUGCAUGGAGGCUGUUAGUGUACAAAUAUGAUUAAUUUUGACUUGUUCAUCGGUCCUCCACUUCACUCGCCGCAAAUACCAAGUCUCAACCCCCCAACAUAUAUCCCCUGUCAAUUACCGAUAAAAAUAACUUCUAAAAACUGAAUUGAGCAAUCAAAUUUAGUAUAAUGUAGCCACAAAAUAAAAACUAAAUUAAGUACUCUUCUCAUAAUUAUCAAAUAAAGUAAAAAAACAUUGCCAUUCAGUAUCGAUUUCUGCAGUCUCCUAUAUAAUCAUCCCAACUUCUUCACAAUCUAUAUAACAAAGCAAACAUCCUCCAUCCGGUACAUAUCAAAAUCCAAACAAUGUCUUCAUCCUUUGUAACAAAACGACUCUUUUCGGUCCCUAUCUUGGCCAUGGUGGCCAUGCAACUCUCUUUUGUACAGUGUGUUUUGUCCCUAAACCAAACAAAUGAGUAUCUACACCACAUAUGCCUUAAUCGUCAAGGAACAUACAAGUCAGGUAGUAAAGACGAGAGAGAUCUUAACAAUCUCAUCCAAAUGAUUUCUAUCUCAAUUUUAGGCGACGUUGUCGUUUUUAGCGGUGAUAAUUCCAUCUACGUCAAGCUCCAGUGCCGGGGGGACUCCUCCACAUCCAAGUGCCGCUCUUGCCUUGAUACCGCCUUCUCUGGGGUAACGUCAUUUGAAUAUUGUUGAUUAGCUGUCACAUACUUACAUAUACAAAUGCGCGCACACACACAUGUACAUUAGUUUUUGGUUACACCUUUUCAUCCUGAUACUAUAUUGGGUGUGGUUUAGUUGUUGAUUUGCAUUUUAACAAUAGUACCAAACGAAACAAUACAUAUUAUAUAGUACCAAAGAAAACAAUAGUUCUUGAUAUGUAUAUAUGACAGGUUAGUAGAAGAUGUCCCAACAACAAAGAAUAAUAUGGUACGACAACUGUGUUCUCACAAUUUUAACGUUUCAUACGUAUGGCAAGAUCGAUUACCAGAACAAUUUCUAUAUUUCCAAUGCAAAGGAUGUGAGCGGUGAUACAAAUUCGUUCAACGAGAAGACGAGGGCUCUCCUCUAUAAGCUGAAGGAGAAAGCAAGUAGUAAAGAAAACAUCCCCAACAAGAAAAAUUACUUAUAUGCAACAGGGGAGGAAAGUCUCGGGAAGAUGAAAUUGUACGCAAUGGUGCAGUGUACACAAGACUUAUCAAUAAAAAAUUGUAGUGUGUGUUUGAACUGGAUUCUUGCGAAGUUUCCCAAAUGCUGCAACGGUAAACAAGGAGGAAGAUUUUUGAGUACAAGUUGUAAUUUUAGGUAUGAGCUUUACCCCUUUGUAAAACUUACGACUAGUUAAUAUGAGCUUCAUAUAUAUAUAUGCAUAUAUUUGUUGUGUUUGAAUAACUGUUUUCAGCGAAUAAUAAUUAAAUGUAAUUUACCCUUUGUGAUUUAUUUUGUAAAACACACCUUUUUAGUCUAUUUGCAAUAGAUGUUUAAUCAAAGAAUGAAUGACUAUGCGCAUUAUAAAAAAGGACCACUAACCACUAAGAAUGUAACAGUGGAUAAAAAUCGAUACAAGUUUUCUUCUUCUAUAUGGUAUGGAUAGAGAGUAAGAGAGCGAUAUUCAAAGGUUUUGAACUCUUUGAUCACGGUUCCUAUUUCUUCUAUACCAAACAUUGGUCCACCUCUUUGUCGGGCAGUCAGAUUCAAAUAUUCCCUACAUAAUCUCAAGAAAAUGGAAACCCUUCGUUUUUAGAGAAUGAUAUUCCUAAAGUUCAAGUCCCUGCCUCCGUACUCCCGAGAACAUCUGAGAAAGGGAAGGAUUACGACAUUUUUCGUUUUGGAACUCUACCUAGCUCCUGCUUCUUGAUCGGAUAAUCAAGGACCUCAAUCCCAUUUGGGGAAGAUACUCAGAGAAUGGUUUUUGUUCGUUUUCCAAAAGUUCAUGCCCAUGAACAUGUAUGAUUGAUAUCCCCUCUGCUUAUCAACUCGAAAUUGGACCGUUCAUAUCAGAUUUUAUAAAAUACAAAAGUAACUCUCGAAAUAAUAAAAAUAUAUUUUACUUUUGUAAUCAUUAAUAUUCUGCAAUAUAUUUUACUAUUGGUUGAAUAUUUUAGGUUGGGUUUUAAUUUCUGAUUUUAAUGUCGAAAACAACAAAAUUAUUACAAUUCAAACUUUCAAAGUAUUUCUUAAAUCUGGCACUUUUAUCUAAAAUAUCUAACUAAAACGUAGGGAGCAUAUUUUGAACUAACAUAUACUCUUUCUUUUACUAAUCUCCAUCACAAAAUUGAUUUGUAUUCAAAUCAGUUUAAUAGCAUAAGAGUAAAAAAAAAAAGCAAACUACAAUAUAUCCUCUAUAAAAAUUAAUACUCGAUAAAAUCUCCAAAUUAGUUUCUCAGAUGAAUUAAUAUAUCGAUAUAUUAACAAAAUAUCGUAUUGUAGUUGCAAUAUCUAUAGCUUUUACUGUAUUUUUUUUGUCAGCACGAUAAAGAAAAAAACCAAAAAAAAAAAACAUUGAAUAACGCACACAUUAAAUAUAGAAAAAUCAGACCCUUUCAUUAAUAAAAAAGAUUUGAAAGAUUCAUUAAUAAAAAGGAUUUGAAAGAUUUAAUUUCCAGGAUCCAUAUGUUUUCGUCCAUAAUUCAUGUCUUCCCGAAGGUCUUACUUGGCACCCCUUUUGUGUUUAUAUAUUUGUACCCCAAUGUCGACUUUCAUCAUUUCAUCCAACCAAAUAAAAUUGUGUUAUAAAUACUAAGGACUCUCUAAUGGGUGUUCUUAGCAUGAAGGGUGGAGAUGGAGAACACAGUUAUGCUAAUAAUUCUGAGGCGCAGGUAAGUACUUGUCUUAUCUAUAACAUAUGAACCAUAGUUAAGUUUUGGCAAAUAUAUAUUGCAUAUCAAUAUAUACUAGUUAAUGAUUUGAAUAAAUACUUUUCUAUAUAUAAUGAUGUCCCGUGCUACGUGAAUGAUUAAACUAAUUUGUAAGUGUUUCUAAGAAAAUGAGAAAAAAUCUUCAUUAAUUAAAGAAAACUGUAUCUUUUACCAUAAUUUAAUGGCAUAUCAUAUAAUUAAUUAUAUCUUUAAGGUUUUUUAUUUAUUUUUCUUUUUAUUCUUUCUUUUUAUGGCAUCAAAUGCGAGUAUCUUUUGUUGAUUCAAGCUUAUUCAUAAUAUAAUUUAAUUUCAGUUUUUAACUUCUUAGAAAAGUAUUACUUCUGAUGCAAAACCGGAGGUGGUGAAGAGCGUAAACGAAAUGAUAGUGAAAAUGGAUUUUCCUGGGUGCAUCAAAGUGGCCGACUUGGGAUGUUCUUCCGGAGAAAACACGUUCUUGGUUAUGUCUGAAAUCGUUAACACAAUCAUAACAACAUACCAACAAAAGGGUCAAAACCCACCCGAGAUCGAUUGUUGUCUGAACGAUCUUCCAGACAACGACUUCAACACAACUUUCAAGUUGAUCCCUUCCUUCCACGAGAAACUGAAGAUGAAUAUUAAAGGAAAGUGCUUUGUCUCAGGAUCUCCAGGCUCAUUCUACACAAGGCUUUUCCCAAGCAAGUCUCUUCAUUUUGUCCAUUCAUCUUUUUGUCUCCACUGGCUUUCUAAAGUUCCUGAUGGGCUUGAGGAAAAUAAGAAGAACGUGUAUCUUAGAAGUCCAUGCCCUCCAAGUUUGUACGAGAGUUAUUUGAAUCAGUUUAAGAAUGAUUUCUCAACGUUUCUAAGAAUGCGUGCGGAAGAGACAAUGCCUAGUGGACGCAUGGCUCUCACUUUAGUGGGCAGAAAAACUUUGGACCCUUUAUCUAAAGAUUGUUUCAAAGAUUGGUCGUUGGUAUCUGAUUCCCUCCUCGAUUUGGUGUCUGAGGUACUCACUAUAAUCAGACUUCUUAAUUUGUUUUGGUAACCAAAAAAUUCUGGACCUUAAUUCAUGAUUUCUUUUAGAUGAGAGUACGUUAAUUAAUCUCCUUCUAUAGUAAUAAUCUAUAUAAUAAGUUAGUAACUCUAAUUUGAAUAUUUUGUAAUGAUAACUAUUUGCCAGUUAUUAUGUACAAUUUUUAAGUCAAAAUUUAAUUUAAUUAAUGUUGUAAGAUAUUUAUGGACACAAAAUUUAUUUAAAUAUCAAGUUAGCUGUUUUUUUUUUAAAAUCAAAAAUAUUGGGUGAAUGCACACUUUCAUGAUGAGAUUAAAGCCCUGAUCGUAGUAGUUACAAUAAUAUUAUGGAGGAAUGUUUUGAGUGUGCAGGGAGUUGUGAAGGAAUCAGAUUUGGAAUCUUUCAAUUUGCCGUAUUACAAUCCUGAUGAAAGUGAGGUGAAGGAAGUUAUCGACAACGAGGGCUCAUUCGAGAUCAACAAUUUUGAGACAAUAUUUGGGCUUCUCUUUUCGUACAAAACUGGUCGUAGUGAAGUGAAAGAUGAUUGUGAUGAUGAUGUGGACCAUUCACGUCGAUUUGAAGUGGUUAAAAAGAGGGCUAACCUGGCAAGAUCCAUCAUUGAACCAAUGCUUGUUGCUCAUUUUGGAGACGCCAUUAUCGAUCGGCUGUUUGAGAAGUAUAUAUAUCAUGCAGGCCGACGUUAUGAUACCUUGCGCAACAAACCAACCGUUAAUUUCUUUGUUUCGUUAACUAGGAAGUGAAGGAUUGUCGGUCUACCAAUAAUUGAUGAAAAAUAAUGAUCCUUGGUGAGGAUUGGCCAACAAAGCCAAUUAAUAUGUUAUUUAUUGUGCUUUUAAUUUCCCUGUUAUGUAUUGUUGUGCUUUAAAUGUGUGUUUAAUAUAUGUCAGUAUCUAUCUCAAUAAAACAGCUACAUGCCUUAUUUUGUAAAUUCUCAGUUUUAGUACUCCCUUUGUAUCAAAUUGUUUUAGAUAUAUAAUAAGUUGUGUUUGAAUUUAGAAUUCUUUUUUUUUAAUGAUUUCUUAAUUUAUUUAUUGUAAAAACCUUGAAUAUCAUUUAAAAUAAAACAAAAUGAGUAAUAAAGUAAGCUAUUAACAUAAAAAAGUAUGUUAUGUAUUGUGAUGAUUGAAAUAGUUUGGCUUGGAUCUUGACAUUUCUGAAUGUCUAGUGUCCAUGCAUCGAUCCCUUUUGUUAAAUUAAAUUCAUAUAUUAUAUUAAGCAAAAAAAGAACAAGAGAGAAAUAGUAAAGUGUGGGUUUACUAUAUUUUGUUUUAAAUUGAUUUGUGUGUAGUUUUGUUUAUACAAUUCUAAAAUAUGUGCAUUCGUAAAUUUCAUAUCAUUCAAACAAAAAAAGCAAUAGUCUCUUUGAUCGUGUCUUCUAAGUCUUUUCAUGAUGUUUUAUGUUCCCUUAUAUCCUUAUAUAUUGCUUUGGGAUCAAACGAAAUAAAACAUAUCCCUGAAUUAUAAAUGUGAAAAAACUUUUAGGCGAGUUUAGGGAAUAGGACACCAGUUGCAACUACCCCAAGACCACAUGGAUCCAACAAAUUUAUUUACUGUAAAAAAAAAAAUUAUUGUCAAAAAUCAAUUGUAUAGUGUAAUAUGUCUGGUUCACUGUUGGUAAGAAGACUUGUUUUUUUUUCCUAAUAUCUUUUGUUGGGAUUACAAGAUUUUAGAUUUUUUGUCUUCUAAUUUCUUUUGUUGGGAUUUCAAAUUUUUAGAUUUUUGAGGUAUUUUUUCCUACACCCUAAACUCAAGCCUCCAUUUUCCACAAUUAGAUUGCUGCAAAAUUGGAGAAAUAGAUGAACAAAUUUUACCACAUGUAUAUAAGUGAUUGUGUUGGACUUAUCACAAAAUCAAUGGUUGUCCAAAGAGUCGACGGGUUGUAACCCCACGCAAAGUUUUGAUUAAAUCCACUACGCAAUCAAAAUUGACCCUCGACCUCUAGCUACACGAGUUGAAAGUUUCACAAUGUCUAACGAGCAUUGUAGACAAUUGAGAUUAAAAAAAACAAUCUAAAUGCUCGUUGCUCAUUUCGGAAAUGAAAUUAUCGAAUCAGAGAUCAACAAUUAUGCACACUAUAUGGCCACAUAUCUGUGUUAUAAACCAUCAUCCUAAUAUGACACAUCAUCGUUGUAUAGUUGAUUAGGAAAUAAAGGUCAUCGAUCGUAAUGAGUCUGAAUAAUAAUGGCAGUUUUAAUGAGUCUGAAUCACAAACUGUUAAUAAAGUUACCUAAUACUCCCUCCGUUUCGUUUUAGUUGUCGUUUAAAGUUUUUUCACACAAAUUAAGAAAAACAUUAAAUUUUCUGUUUUAUCCUUUAUUAAUAUAAUUUAUAAAAAAAUUUAUUGGCCAAAACAUUAAAACAAUAGAGAUAAAACUAGAAUUUUCACCAAACAUUUGCAUUGAAAACCUAAAACGACAACUAUUAUGAAACAAAAUUUAAAUCCUAAAACGACAACUAAACUGAAACGGAUGGAGUAUAUAAUAAGUGACACUAACUAUGCAAUUAUAUAUCAACCCUAACAAUUGAUUUACUGUCUAUUAUUAAUUUUAGGUUAGAAAGAGUAUGAAUAGUGUGGUUUUAAGCUUUUCAACUUUGACUUUUUCUUUGUCCCCUGCUCCCCCCUCGCCGCAAAUACCAAGUCUCAACACCAAACUCCUGUCCUGUCAAACCAAUUAUCCAAAAAAAAAAAAAAAACACCUCUCCUAUGUGUGUUACAAACUAAAAACAUUUCUUUUAGACACUGAUAUCAUCACUCGAAUUUCGUAUACAAGAAAAUUAAGAGUGCUACAAUUUUAAUAAUUAUCGAAUAAAAAACAAAAUCCACUCCGUAUCCAAAAUCGCUCGAGUCUCCUAUAUAAACAUUCCAACUCCCAUGAUUGAUCUAAUAAAGGAAAACCGGUAGAGCAAGUCAAGGAGACGACUCAAACGGUGGUGAGGGACGAGUCGGGUGAAUCACCGGUGGUGAAUGAUGGGUUCACGGUUGUCCGGCGAGCAGGGAGGAAGUCGGGGCAGAGGGAGAAUCGAGUGGGCCCCGGGAACAGAAAUUCAGGAUCAGACUUGGAAAGAAAUCUCCAAGAGAUCUCAACGAAUGUCGUGACUGCUAACAGAUUUGGGAAUCUGGAAGAGGAGAUCACAGAGGUUGGGAUAAGGGAAGUUGCGAAAUCUCAGGGUGCGAAUAAGGUAAAGGAGAAUGUCCCGAUUCAAUUUGGAAAAGGGAAGAAUGUCGCGCCAAGUAAGGAAGGAGUGAAUGCUGUGUCUGAAAAGGAAGGAGGUUUUGUGGAAAAGGCUGGGCGCGGGAAAGGAAAUGUGGGUUUGAAAGGUAGGCCCAAAGGGAAGUGGGCUGGUGGAAUUAAACAUGUUGGUAUUAAUGGGCCUAAACUUAAUAUCCAACAAAACAGACCAGCUCGUGGGCUGGUAUUUGGCCUAGUAACAGAAGAGUAUGAGCGAUGUGUGUCGGGGAAGAGAUUGCGAAUGGACAAGAGUGGUGUUGGGAGACCAGGGGGAAAUUUUUCGAAUGGAGCUACGACUUCAAUGGAGCUGGUACAUUCGCUACAGAGCCAGAACGAGUCGACUGUGGCAGCUCAUAAUGAAUUGACGGAUCAAUCGUUGAGUACGGAGGUUGUUAUGCACUCGCCGUUUCCGGAGAAGGAGGCGGAGCUGCGUGAAGCAUAACAAUUUGCCCCGGUAGUUCGGUGUCUAUUAAUUCUCAAGUUAAUGAUGGAUUGCAUGCUAUGGAAUUGCCGGGGGGCGAAUAAACCCAAUUUUCGAAGAGCGAUUCGCUAUAUGUUGAAGAAGUUUAUGACUGACAUACUUGCGUUGUUUGAAACUCAUGCUAGUGGAGACAGAGCACGGCGGAUUUGUCAGGGACUAGGGUUCGAAAAUGUCUUCAGAGUGGAGGCUGUGGGUCAGAGUGGUGGUAUAUGGCUAGUAUGGAGAUCGGGUAUCGGUGAUGUUGAAGUUGUUGAGUCAUCGGAUCAGUUUGUUUUUGCGAAAAUAAAGAACGGAGAGGAGGAACUGAAUCUUAUCGUGGUUUACGCAGCUCCGUCGGUGAGUAGGAGGAGUGGACUCUGGGAUAAGUUAAGAGAGGUGAUCCAGGGUAUAAACGGCCCCAUAAUAAUUGGCGGGGACUUUAAUACGAUUGUGCGAGUUGAUGAAAGGUCUGGUGGGAACGGUAGAUUGUCUCCGGACUCUUUGGCUUUUGGGGAAUGGAUAAACAGUGUAUCCUUGAUAGACAUGGGUUUUCGAGGGAACAAGUUUACUUGGAAACGAGGAAGAGGUGAAGAUACCUUUGUAGCAAAGCGGCUGGAUAGGGUUAUGUGUUGUGCUCACUCUCGGUUGAAGUGGCAAGAGGCCAGCGUAACACAUUUACCAAUUCUCGCCUCAGACCAUGCGCCUUUGUACGUCCAACUGUGUCCCGACGUCAUACGAGAUGCGAGUAGACGACCAUUCAGGUUUGAGGCGGCAUGGUUACAACACCCGAGUUUUAAAGACUUGUUGACGGCAUCGUGGAUGAUAAUUUGAGAACUCCAGAAGCCUUAGAUGAGCUGCGAGUUAAAUUAAAAAGGUGGAACUGGGAUGUCUUUGGUGAUGUUAAGAAGAAGAAGGAGUCUUUGAUGGAGGAGAUAAAAUCGGUUCAAGAUGCGUUGGAAAUAGCUCAAUCGGAUGACUUGUUACGCAAGGAAGACGAUUUAAUUAAGGCUUUUGAUGAGGUGUUGGAACAAGAGGAAACCAUAUGGUACCAGAAAUCAAGAGAGAAGUGGAUCGCUCUUGGUGAUCGUAAUACAAAAUAUUUCCAUACAACAACAAUAAUUCGGAGGCGGCAGAAUCGGAUUGAAAUGUUGAAGAAUGGAGAUGAUAUUUGGGUUACGAAUGCUCGAGAACUUGAGGAAAUGGCGGUGGAGUACUAUCAGCGGCUGUAUUCUCUAGUUGAUGUUCCGGAAGUAUUAAAUGGGCUGCCUAUGGAUGGUUUUCCGAGGCUUACACAAGCGGAGACUCAAUGUUUGAGUAAGCCAUUCUCGGGUGUGGAAAACCAUCCGGAGUAUGGGUAGAUUUAAAGCUCCAGGUCCGGAUGGAUACCAACCAUUAUUUUACCAUGACUGCUGGGAUACGGUGGGGGAAUCAGUGGUGAAGUUUGUGUUGGAGUUUUUUGAGACGGGAGUUUUACCGGAAAACACAAAUGAUGCUCUUGUUGUUCUUAUCGCCAAGGUGGCUAAACCGGAGAGAAUUACUCAAUUCAGGCCAAUAAGUCUUU